GAGAGUGAUGUACUGACGGGUGCGAUCAUACCAGCACUAAUGCACCGGAUCCCAUCAGAACUCCGCAGUUAAGCGUGCUAGGAUGGGUGACCUCCCGGGAAGUCCUCGUGUUGCCCACCCUUUUUAUUUUUUAAUUUUUUUUAAUGCAUCCUAAGACGAGUCUAAACUUGGAAACCUCAUAACUUUUGAACCGUGAGGAACUACGUCGCCCAUAGCACCAUUUCGGAAAGCCCCAGAAACCAUAAUGGGCGGUGAAUAGGCGGCGCCAAUUUUUCGGGCUCAAAUUCAGCCGUUUUGACCCUCAAACGGGCUGCGGAAAGUUUUGGCACGCAAAAAAGAUCGAAAGCGGAUUCUCAGGGUGUUUUUGAUGCUUUCUGAACGCCAUUAACCUCGACGCACUUUUUCGCUCGAAACAAAAUGGCAAGAAAAUCAUGUGGGUCCCACGGCCUCACAGGCUGCGAAAAGGAUAUGUAGAAACGAGAGUGAUGUACUGACGGGUGCGAUCAUACCAGCACUAAUGCACCGGAUCCCAUCAGAACUCCGCAGUUAAGCGUGCUUGGGCGCGAGAGUAGUACUAGGAUGGGUGACCUCCCGGGAAGUCCUCGUGUUGCACCCCUUUUUAUUUUUUAAUUUUUUUAAUGCAUCCUAAGACGAGUCUAAACUUGGAAACCUCAUAACUUUUGAACCGUGAGGAACUACGUCGCCCAUAGCACCAUUUCGGAAAGCCCCAGAAACCAUAAUGGGCUGGUGAAUAGGCGGCGCCAAUUUUUCGGGCUCAAAUUCAGCCGUUUUGACCCUCAAACGGGCUGCGGAAAGUUUUGGCACGCAAAAAAGAUCGAAAGCGGAUUCUCAGGGUGUUUUUGAUGCUUUCUGAACGCCAUUAACCUCGACGCACUUUUUCGCUCGAAACAAUUGGCAAGAAAAUCAUGUGGGUCCCACGGCCUCACACUUGGAUGGCUGCGAAAAGGAUAUGUAGAAACGAGAGUGAUGUACUGACGGGUGCGAUCAUACCAGCACUAAUGCACCGGAUCCCAUCAGAACUCCGCAGUUAAGCUUAGAGAGUACUAGGAUGGGUGACCUCCCGGGAAGUCCUCGUGUUGCACCCCUUUUUAUUUUUUAAUUUUUUUUAAUGCAUCCUAAGACGAGUCUAAACUUGGAAACCUCAUAACUUUUGAACCGUGAGGAACUACGUCGCCCAUAGCACCAUUUCGGAAAGCCCCAGAAACCAUAAUGGGCGGUGAAUAGGCGGCGCCAAUUUUUCGGGCUCAAAUUCAGCCGUUUUGACCCUCAAACGGGCUGCGGAAAGUUUUGGCACGCAAAAAAGAUCGAAAGCGGAUUCUCAGGGUGUUUUUGAUGCUUUCUGAACGCCAUUAACCUCGACGCACUUUUUCGCUCGAAACAAAAUGGCAAGAAAAUCAUGUGGGUCCCACGGCCUCACUUGGAUUGCUGCGAAAAGGAUAUGUAGAAACGAGAGUGAUGUACUGACGGGUGCGAUCAUACCAGCACUAAUGCACCGGAUCCCAUCAGAACUCCGCAGUUAAGCGUGUAGGAUGGGUGACCUCCCGGGAAGUCCUCGUGUUGCACCCCUUUUUAUUUUUUAAUUUUUUUUAAUGCAUCCUAAGACGAGUCUAAACUUGGAAACCUCAUAACUUUUGAACCGUGAGGAACUACGUCGCCCAUAGCACCAUUUCGGAAAGCCCCAGAAACCAUAAUGGGCGGUGAAUAGGCGGCGCCAAUUUUUCGGGCUCAAAUUCAGCCGUUUUGACCCUCAAACGGGCUGCGGAAAGUUUUGGCACGCAAAAAAGAUCGAAAGCGGAUUCUCAGGGUGUUUUUGAUGCUUUCUGAACGCCAUUAACCUCGACGCACUUUUUCGCUCGAAACAAAAUGGCAAGAAAAUCAUGUGGGUCCCACGGCCUCACAGGCGGCUGCGAAAAGGAUAUGUAGAAACGAGAGUGAUGUACUGACGGGUGCGAUCAUACCAGCACUAAUGCACCGGAUCCCAUCAGAACUCCGCAGUUAAGCGUGCUUGGGCGAGAGUAGUACUAGGAUGGGUGACCUCCCGGGAAGUCCUCGUGUUGCACCCCUUUUUAUUUUUUAAUUUUUUUAAUGCAUCCUAAGACGAGUCUAAACUUGGAAACCUCAUAACUUUUGAACCGUGAGGAACUACGUCGCCCAUAGCACCAUUUCGGAAAGCCCCAGAAACCAUAAUGGGCGGUGAAUAGGCGGCGCCAAUUUUUCGGGCUCAAAUUCAGCCGUUUUGACCCUCAAACGGGCUGCGGAAAGUUUUGGCACGCAAAAAAGAUCGAAAGCGGAUUCUCAGGGUGUUUUUGAUGCUUUCUGAACGCCAUUAACCUCGACGCACUUUUUCGCUCGAAACAAAUGGCAAGAAAAUCAUGUGGGUCCCACGGCCUCACACAGGCUGCGAAAAGGAUAUGUAGAAACGAGAGUGAUGUACUGACGGGUGCGAUCAUACCAGCACUAAUGCACCGGAUCCCAUCAGAACUCCGCAGUUAAGCGUAGUAGGAUGGGUGACCUCCCGGGAAGUCCUCGUGUUGCACCCCUUUUAUUUUUUAAUUUUUUUAAUGCAUCCUAAGACGAGUCUAAACUUGGAAACCUCAUAACUUUUGAACCGUGAGGAACUACGUCGCCCAUAGCACCAUUUCGGAAAGCCCCAGAAACCAUAAUGGGCGGUGAAUAGGCGGCGCCAAUUUUUCGGGCUCAAAUUCAGCCGUUUUGACCCUCAAACGGGCUGCGGAAAGUUUUGGCACGCAAAAAAGAUCGAAAGCGGAUUCUCAGGGUGUUUUUGAUGCUUUCUGAACGCCAUUAACCUCGACGCACUUUUUCGCUCGAAACAAAAUGGCAAGAAAAUCAUGUGGGUCCCACGGCCUCACACUUGGAUUGGCUGCGAAAAGGAUAUGUAGAAACGAGAGUGAUGUACUGACGGGUGCGAUCAUACCAGCACUAAUGCACCGGAUCCCAUCAGAACUCCGCAGUUAAGCGUGCUUGGGCGAGAGUAGUACUAGGAUGGGUGACCUCCCGGGAAGUCCUCGUGUUGCACCCCUUUUUAUUUUUUAAUUUUUUUUAAUGCAUCCUAAGACGAGUCUAAACUUGGAAACCUCAUAACUUUUGAACCGUGAGGAACUACGUCGCCCAUAGCACCAUUUCGGAAAGCCCCAGAAACCAUAAUGGGCGGUGAAUAGGCGGCGCCAAUUUUUCGGGCUCAAAUUCAGCCGUUUUGACCCUCAAACGGGCUGCGGAAAGUUUUGGCACGCAAAAAAGAUCGAAAGCGGAUUCUCAGGGUGUUUUUGAUGCUUUCUGAACGCCAUUAACCUCGACGCACUUUUUCGCUCGAAACAAAAUGGCAAGAAAAUCAUGUGGGUCCCACGGCCUCACACUUGGAUUGGCUGCAAAAAGGAUAUGUAGAAACGAGAGUGAUAUACUGACGGGUGCGAUCAUACCAGCACUAAUGCACCGGAUCCCAUCAGAACUCCGCAGUUAAGCGUGCUUGGGCGAGAGUAGUACUAGGAUGGGUGACCUCCCGGGAAGUCCUCGUGUUGCACCCCUUUUUAUUUUUUAAUUUUUUUUAAUGCAUCCUAAGACGAGUCUAAACUUGGAAACCUCAUAACUUUUGAACCGUGAGGAACUACGUCGCCCAUAGCACCAUUUCGGAAAGCCCCAGAAACCAUAAUGGGCGGUGAAUAGGCGGCGCCAAUUUUUCGGGCUCAAAUUCAGCCGUUUUGACCCUCAAACGGGCUGCGGAAAGUUUUGGCACGCAAAAAAGAUCGAAAGCGGAUUCUCAGGGUGUUUUUGAUGCUUUCUGAACGCCAUUAACCUCGACGCACUUUUUCGCUCGAAACAAAAUGGCAAGAAAAUCAUGUGGGUCCCACGGCCUCACACUUGGAUUGGCUGCGAAAAGGAUAUGUAGAAACGAGAGUGAUGUACUGACGGGUGCGAUCAUACCAGCACUAAUGCACCGGAUCCCAUCAGAACUCCGCAGUUAAGCGUGCUUGGGCGAGAGUAGUACUAGGAUGGGUGACCUCCCGGGAAGUCCUCGUGUUGCACCCCUUUUUAUUUUUUAAUUUUUUUUAAUGCAUCCUAAGACGAGUCUAAACUUGGAAACCUCAUAACUUUUGAACCGUGAGGAACUACGUCGCCCAUAGCACCAUUUCGGAAAGCCCCAGAAACCAUAAUGGGCGGUGAAUAGGCGGCGCCAAUUUUUCGGGCUCAAAUUCAGCCGUUUUGACCCUCAAACGGGCUGCGGAAAGUUUUGGCACGCAAAAAAGAUCGAAAGCGGAUUCUCAGGGUGUUUUUGAUGCUUUCUGAACGCCAUUAACCUCGACGCACUUUUUCGCUCGAAACAAAAUGGCAAGAAAAUCAUGUGGGUCCCACGGCCUCACACUUGGAUUGGCUGCGAAAAGGAUAUGUAGAAGCGAGAGUGAUGUACUGACGGGUGCGAUCAUACCAGCACUAAUGCACCGGAUCCCAUCAGAACUCCGCAGUUAAGCGUGCUAGAGUAGUGGGUGACCUCCCGGGAAGUCCUCGUGUUGCACCCCUUUUUAUUUUUUAAUUUUUUUUAAUGCAUCCUAAGACGAGUCUAAACUUGGAAACCUCAUAACUUUUGAACCGUGAGGAACUACGUCGCCCAUAGCACCAUUUCGGAAAGCCCCAGAAACCAUAAUGGGCGGUGAAUAGGCGGCGCCAAUUUUUCGGGCUCAAAUUCAGCCGUUUUGACCCUCAAACGGGCUGCGGAAAGUUUUGGCACGCAAAAAAGAUCGAAAGCGGAUUCUCAGGGUGUUUUUGAUGCUUUCUGAACGCCAUUAACCUCGACGCACUUUUUCGCUCGAAACAAAAUGGCAAGAAAAUCAUGUGGGUCCCACGGCCUCACACUUGGAUUGGCUGCGAAAAGGAUAUGUAGAAACGAGAGUGAUGUACUGACGGGUGCGAUCAUACCAGCACUAAUGCACCGGAUCCCAUCAGAACUCCGCAGUUAAGCGUGCUUGGGCGAGAGUAGUACUAGGAUGGGUGACCUCCCGGGAAGUCCUCGUGUUGCACCCCUUUUUAUUUUUUAAUUUUUUUUAAUGCAUCCUAAGACGAGUCUAAACUUGGAAACCUCAUAACUUUUGAACCGUGAGGAACUACGUCGCCCAUAGCACCAUUUCGGAAAGCCCCAGAAACCAUAAUGGGCGGUGAAUAGGCGGCGCCAAUUUUUCGGGCUCAAAUUCAGCCGUUUUGACCCUCAAACGGGCUGCGGAAAGUUUUGGCACGCAAAAAAGAUCGAAAGCGGAUUCUCAGGGUGUUUUUGAUGCUUUCUGAACGCCAUUAACCUCGACGCACUUUUUCGCUCGAAACAAAAUGGCAAGAAAAUCAUGUGGGUCCCACGGCCUCACACUUGGAUUGGCUGCGAAAAGGAUAUGUAGAAACGAGAGUGAUGUACUGACGGGUGCGAUCAUACCAGCACUAAUGCACCGGAUCCCAUCAGAACUCCGCAGUUAAGCGUGCUUGGGCGAGAGUAGUACUAGGAUGGGUGACCUCCCGGGAAGUCCUCGUGUUGCACCCCUUUUUAUUUUUUAAUUUUUUUUAAUGCAUCCUAAGACGAGUCUAAACUUGGAAACCUCAUAACUUUUGAACCGUGAGGAACUACGUCGCCCAUAGCACCAUUUCGGAAAGCCCCAGAAACCAUAAUGGGCGGUGAAUAGGCGGCGCCAAUUUUUCGGGCUCAAAUUCAGCCGUUUUGACCCUCAAACGGGCUGCGGAAAGUUUUGGCACGCAAAAAAGAUCGAAAGCGGAUUCUCAGGGUGUUUUUGAUGCUUUCUGAACGCCAUUAACCUCGACGCACUUUUUCGCUCGAAACAAAUUGGCAAGAAAAUCAUGUGGGUCCCACGGCCUCACAGGCUGCGAAAAGGAUAUGUAGAAACGAGAGUGAUGUACUGACGGGUGCGAUCAUACCAGCACUAAUGCACCGGAUCCCAUCAGAACUCCGCAGUUAAGCGUGCUUGGGCGAGAGUAGUACUAGGAUGGGUGACCUCCCGGGAAGUCCUCGUGUUGCACCCCUUUUUAUUUUUUAAUUUUUUUUAAUGCAUCCUAAGACGAGUCUAAACUUGGAAACCUCAUAACUUUUGAACCGUGAGGAACUACGUCGCCCAUAGCACCAUUUCGGAAAGCCCCAGAAACCAUAAUGGGCGGUGAAUAGGCGGCGCCAAUUUUUCGGGCUCAAAUUCAGCCGUUUUGACCCUCAAACGGGCUGCGGAAAGUUUUGGCACGCAAAAAAGAUCGAAAGCGGAUUCUCAGGGUGUUUUUGAUGCUUUCUGAACGCCAUUAACCUCGACGCACUUUUUCGCUCGAAACAAAAUGGCAAGAAAAUCAUGUGGGUCCCACGGCCUCACAGGCUGCGAAAAGGAUAUGUAGAAACGAGAGUGAUGUACUGACGGGUGCGAUCAUACCAGCACUAAUGCACCGGAUCCCAUCAGAACUCCGCAGUUAAGCGUGCUUGGGCGAGAGUAGUACUAGGAUGGGUGACCUCCCGGGAAGUCCUCGUGUUGCACCCCUUUUUAUUUUUUAAUUUUUUUUAAUGCAUCCUAAGACGAGUCUAAACUUGGAAACCUCAUAACUUUUGAACCGUGAGGAACUACGUCGCCCAUAGCACCAUUUCGGAAAGCCCCAGAAACCAUAAUGGGCGGUGAAUAGGCGGCGCCAAUUUUUCGGGCUCAAAUUCAGCCGUUUUGACCCUCAAACGGGCUGCGGAAAGUUUUGGCACGCAAAAAAGAUCGAAAGCGGAUUCUCAGGGUGUUUUUGAUGCUUUCUGAACGCCAUUAACCUCGACGCACUUUUUCGCUCGAAACAAAUUGGCAAGAAAAUCAUGUGGGUCCCACGGCCUCACAGGCUGCGAAAAGGAUAUGUAGAAACGAGAGUGAUGUACUGACGGGUGCGAUCAUACCAGCACUAAUGCACCGGAUCCCAUCAGAACUCCGCAGUUAAGCGUGCUUGGGCGAGAGUAGUACUAGGAUGGGUGACCUCCCGGGAAGUCCUCGUGUUGCACCCCUUUUUAUUUUUUAAUUUUUUUUAAUGCAUCCUAAGACGAGUCUAAACUUGGAAACCUCAUAACUUUUGAACCGUGAGGAACUACGUCGCCCAUAGCACCAUUUCGGAAAGCCCCAGAAACCAUAAUGGGCGGUGAAUAGGCGGCGCCAAUUUUUCGGGCUCAAAUUCAGCCGUUUUGACCCUCAAACGGGCUGCGGAAAGUUUUGGCACGCAAAAAAGAUCGAAAGCGGAUUCUCAGGGUGUUUUUGAUGCUUUCUGAACGCCAUUAACCUCGACGCACUUUUUCGCUCGAAACAAAAUGGCAAGAAAAUCAUGUGGGUCCCACGGCCUCACAGGCUGCGAAAAGGAUAUGUAGAAACGAGAGUGAUGUACUGACGGGUGCGAUCAUACCAGCACUAAUGCACCGGAUCCCAUCAGAACUCCGCAGUUAAGCGUGCUUGGGCGAGAGUAGUACUAGGAUGGGUGACCUCCCGGGAAGUCCUCGUGUUGCACCCCUUUUUAUUUUUUAAUUUUUUUUAAUGCAUCCUAAGACGAGUCUAAACUUGGAAACCUCAUAACUUUUGAACCGUGAGGAACUACGUCGCCCAUAGCACCAUUUCGGAAAGCCCCAGAAACCAUAAUGGGCGGUGAAUAGGCGGCGCCAAUUUUUCGGGCUCAAAUUCAGCCGUUUUGACCCUCAAACGGGCUGCGGAAAGUUUUGGCACGCAAAAAAGAUCGAAAGCGGAUUCUCAGGGUGUUUUUGAUGCUUUCUGAACGCCAUUAACCUCGACGCACUUUUUCGCUCGAAACAAAUGGCAAGAAAAUCAUGUGGGUCCCACGGCCUCACAGGCUGCGAAAAGGAUAUGUAGAAACGAGAGUGAUGUACUGACGGGUGCGAUCAUACCAGCACUAAUGCACCGGAUCCCAUCAGAACUCCGCAGUUAAGCGUGCUUGGGCGAGAGUAGUACUAGGAUGGGUGACCUCCCGGGAAGUCCUCGUGUUGCACCCCUUUUUAUUUUUUAAUUUUUUUUAAUGCAUCCUAAGACGAGUCUAAACUUGGAAACCUCAUAACUUUUGAACCGUGAGGAACUACGUCGCCCAUAGCACCAUUUCGGAAAGCCCCAGAAACCAUAAUGGGCGGUGAAUAGGCGGCGCCAAUUUUUCGGGCUCAAAUUCAGCCGUUUUGACCCUCAAACGGGCUGCGGAAAGUUUUGGCACGCAAAAAAGAUCGAAAGCGGAUUCUCAGGGUGUUUUUGAUGCUUUCUGAACGCCAUUAACCUCGACGCACUUUUUCGCUCGAAACAAAAUGGCAAGAAAAUCAUGUGGGUCCCACGGCCUCACAGGCUGCGAAAAGGAUAUGUAGAAACGAGAGUGAUGUACUGACGGGUGCGAUCAUACCAGCACUAAUGCACCGGAUCCCAUCAGAACUCCGCAGUUAAGCGUGCUUGGGCGAGAGUAGUACUAGGAUGGGUGACCUCCCGGGAAGUCCUCGUGUUGCACCCCUUUUUAUUUUUUAAUUUUUUUUAAUGCAUCCUAAGACGAGUCUAAACUUGGAAACCUCAUAACUUUUGAACCGUGAGGAACUACGUCGCCCAUAGCACCAUUUCGGAAAGCCCCAGAAACCAUAAUGGGCGGUGAAUAGGCGGCGCCAAUUUUUCGGGCUCAAAUUCAGCCGUUUUGACCCUCAAACGGGCUGCGGAAAGUUUUGGCACGCAAAAAAGAUCGAAAGCGGAUUCUCAGGGUGUUUUUGAUGCUUUCUGAACGCCAUUAACCUCGACGCACUUUUUCGCUCGAAACAAAUGGCAAGAAAAUCAUGUGGGUCCCACGGCCUCACAGGCUGCGAAAAGGAUAUGUAGAAACGAGAGUGAUGUACUGACGGGUGCGAUCAUACCAGCACUAAUGCACCGGAUCCCAUCAGAACUCCGCAGUUAAGCGUGCUUGGGCGAGAGUAGUACUAGGAUGGGUGACCUCCCGGGAAGUCCUCGUGUUGCACCCCUUUUUAUUUUUUAAUUUUUUUUAAUGCAUCCUAAGACGAGUCUAAACUUGGAAACCUCAUAACUUUUGAACCGUGAGGAACUACGUCGCCCAUAGCACCAUUUCGGAAAGCCCCAGAAACCAUAAUGGGCGGUGAAUAGGCGGCGCCAAUUUUUCGGGCUCAAAUUCAGCCGUUUUGACCCUCAAACGGGCUGCGGAAAGUUUUGGCACGCAAAAAAGAUCGAAAGCGGAUUCUCAGGGUGUUUUUGAUGCUUUCUGAACGCCAUUAACCUCGACGCACUUUUUCGCUCGAAACAAAUGGCAAGAAAAUCAUGUGGGUCCCACGGCCUCACAGGCUGCGAAAAGGAUAUGUAGAAACGAGAGUGAUGUACUGACGGGUGCGAUCAUACCAGCACUAAUGCACCGGAUCCCAUCAGAACUCCGCAGUUAAGCGUGCUUGGGCGAGAGUAGUACUAGGAUGGGUGACCUCCCGGGAAGUCCUCGUGUUGCACCCCUUUUUAUUUUUUAAUUUUUUUUAAUGCAUCCUAAGACGAGUCUAAACUUGGAAACCUCAUAACUUUUGAACCGUGAGGAACUACGUCGCCCAUAGCACCAUUUCGGAAAGCCCCAGAAACCAUAAUGGGCGGUGAAUAGGCGGCGCCAAUUUUUCGGGCUCAAAUUCAGCCGUUUUGACCCUCAAACGGGCUGCGGAAAGUUUUGGCACGCAAAAAAGAUCGAAAGCGGAUUCUCAGGGUGUUUUUGAUGCUUUCUGAACGCCAUUAACCUCGACGCACUUUUUCGCUCGAAACAAAUGGCAAGAAAAUCAUGUGGGUCCCACGGCCUCACAGGCUGCGAAAAGGAUAUGUAGAAACGAGAGUGAUGUACUGACGGGUGCGAUCAUACCAGCACUAAUGCACCGGAUCCCAUCAGAACUCCGCAGUUAAGCGUGCUUGGGCGAGAGUAGUACUAGGAUGGGUGACCUCCCGGGAAGUCCUCGUGUUGCACCCCUUUUUAUUUUUUAAUUUUUUUUAAUGCAUCCUAAGACGAGUCUAAACUUGGAAACCUCAUAACUUUUGAACCGUGAGGAACUACGUCGCCCAUAGCACCAUUUCGGAAAGCCCCAGAAACCAUAAUGGGCGGUGAAUAGGCGGCGCCAAUUUUUCGGGCUCAAAUUCAGCCGUUUUGACCCUCAAACGGGCUGCGGAAAGUUUUGGCACGCAAAAAAGAUCGAAAGCGGAUUCUCAGGGUGUUUUUGAUGCUUUCUGAACGCCAUUAACCUCGACGCACUUUUUCGCUCGAAACAAAUGGCAAGAAAAUCAUGUGGGUCCCACGGCCUCACAGGCUGCGAAAAGGAUAUGUAGAAACGAGAGUGAUGUACUGACGGGUGCGAUCAUACCAGCACUAAUGCACCGGAUCCCAUCAGAACUCCGCAGUUAAGCGUGCUUGGGCGAGAGUAGUACUAGGAUGGGUGACCUCCCGGGAAGUCCUCGUGUUGCACCCCUUUUUAUUUUUUAAUUUUUUUUAAUGCAUCCUAAGACGAGUCUAAACUUGGAAACCUCAUAACUUUUGAACCGUGAGGAACUACGUCGCCCAUAGCACCAUUUCGGAAAGCCCCAGAAACCAUAAUGGGCGGUGAAUAGGCGGCGCCAAUUUUUCGGGCUCAAAUUCAGCCGUUUUGACCCUCAAACGGGCUGCGGAAAGUUUUGGCACGCAAAAAAGAUCGAAAGCGGAUUCUCAGGGUGUUUUUGAUGCUUUCUGAACGCCAUUAACCUCGACGCACUUUUUCGCUCGAAACAAAUUGGCAAGAAAAUCAUGUGGGUCCCACGGCCUCACAGGCUGCGAAAAGGAUAUGUAGAAACGAGAGUGAUGUACUGACGGGUGCGAUCAUACCAGCACUAAUGCACCGGAUCCCAUCAGAACUCCGCAGUUAAGCGUGCUUGGGCGAGAGUAGUACUAGGAUGGGUGACCUCCCGGGAAGUCCUCGUGUUGCACCCCUUUUUAUUUUUUAAUUUUUUUUAAUGCAUCCUAAGACGAGUCUAAACUUGGAAACCUCAUAACUUUUGAACCGUGAGGAACUACGUCGCCCAUAGCACCAUUUCGGAAAGCCCCAGAAACCAUAAUGGGCGGUGAAUAGGCGGCGCCAAUUUUUCGGGCUCAAAUUCAGCCGUUUUGACCCUCAAACGGGCUGCGGAAAGUUUUGGCACGCAAAAAAGAUCGAAAGCGGAUUCUCAGGGUGUUUUUGAUGCUUUCUGAACGCCAUUAACCUCGACGCACUUUUUCGCUCGAAACAAAAUGGCAAGAAAAUCAUGUGGGUCCCACGGCCUCACAGGCUGCGAAAAGGAUAUGUAGAAACGAGAGUGAUGUACUGACGGGUGCGAUCAUACCAGCACUAAUGCACCGGAUCCCAUCAGAACUCCGCAGUUAAGCGUGCUUGGGCGAGAGUAGUACUAGGAUGGGUGACCUCCCGGGAAGUCCUCGUGUUGCACCCCUUUUUAUUUUUUAAUUUUUUUUAAUGCAUCCUAAGACGAGUCUAAACUUGGAAACCUCAUAACUUUUGAACCGUGAGGAACUACGUCGCCCAUAGCACCAUUUCGGAAAGCCCCAGAAACCAUAAUGGGCGGUGAAUAGGCGGCGCCAAUUUUUCGGGCUCAAAUUCAGCCGUUUUGACCCUCAAACGGGCUGCGGAAAGUUUUGGCACGCAAAAAAGAUCGAAAGCGGAUUCUCAGGGUGUUUUUGAUGCUUUCUGAACGCCAUUAACCUCGACGCACUUUUUCGCUCGAAACAAAUUGGCAAGAAAAUCAUGUGGGUCCCACGGCCUCACAGGAUUGGCUGCGAAAAGGAUAUGUAGAAACGAGAGUGAUGUACUGACGGGUGCGAUCAUACCAGCACUAAUGCACCGGAUCCCAUCAGAACUCCGCAGUUAAGCGUGCUUGGGCGAGAGUAGUACUAGGAUGGGUGACCUCCCGGGAAGUCCUCGUGUUGCACCCCUUUUUAUUUUUUAAUUUUUUUUAAUGCAUCCUAAGACGAGUCUAAACUUGGAAACCUCAUAACUUUUGAACCGUGAGGAACUACGUCGCCCAUAGCACCAUUUCGGAAAGCCCCAGAAACCAUAAUGGGCGGUGAAUAGGCGGCGCCAAUUUUUCGGGCUCAAAUUCAGCCGUUUUGACCCUCAAACGGGCUGCGGAAAGUUUUGGCACGCAAAAAAGAUCGAAAGCGGAUUCUCAGGGUGUUUUUGAUGCUUUCUGAACGCCAUUAACCUCGACGCACUUUUUCGCUCGAAACAAAAUGGCAAGAAAAUCAUGUGGGUCCCACGGCCUCACAGGCUGCGAAAAGGAUAUGUAGAAACGAGAGUGAUGUACUGACGGGUGCGAUCAUACCAGCACUAAUGCACCGGAUCCCAUCAGAACUCCGCAGUUAAGCGUGCUUGGGCGAGAGUAGUACUAGGAUGGGUGACCUCCCGGGAAGUCCUCGUGUUGCACCCCUUUUUAUUUUUUAAUUUUUUUUAAUGCAUCCUAAGACGAGUCUAAACUUGGAAACCUCAUAACUUUUGAACCGUGAGGAACUACGUCGCCCAUAGCACCAUUUCGGAAAGCCCCAGAAACCAUAAUGGGCGGUGAAUAGGCGGCGCCAAUUUUUCGGGCUCAAAUUCAGCCGUUUUGACCCUCAAACGGGCUGCGGAAAGUUUUGGCACGCAAAAAAGAUCGAAAGCGGAUUCUCAGGGUGUUUUUGAUGCUUUCUGAACGCCAUUAACCUCGACGCACUUUUUCGCUCGAAACAAAUGGCAAGAAAAUCAUGUGGGUCCCACGGCCUCACAGGCUGCGAAAAGGAUAUGUAGAAACGAGAGUGAUGUACUGACGGGUGCGAUCAUACCAGCACUAAUGCACCGGAUCCCAUCAGAACUCCGCAGUUAAGCGUGCUUGGGCGAGAGUAGUACUAGGAUGGGUGACCUCCCGGGAAGUCCUCGUGUUGCACCCCUUUUUAUUUUUUAAUUUUUUUUAAUGCAUCCUAAGACGAGUCUAAACUUGGAAACCUCAUAACUUUUGAACCGUGAGGAACUACGUCGCCCAUAGCACCAUUUCGGAAAGCCCCAGAAACCAUAAUGGGCGGUGAAUAGGCGGCGCCAAUUUUUCGGGCUCAAAUUCAGCCGUUUUGACCCUCAAACGGGCUGCGGAAAGUUUUGGCACGCAAAAAAGAUCGAAAGCGGAUUCUCAGGGUGUUUUUGAUGCUUUCUGAACGCCAUUAACCUCGACGCACUUUUUCGCUCGAAACAAAUGGCAAGAAAAUCAUGUGGGUCCCACGGCCUCACAGGCUGCGAAAAGGAUAUGUAGAAACGAGAGUGAUGUACUGACGGGUGCGAUCAUACCAGCACUAAUGCACCGGAUCCCAUCAGAACUCCGCAGUUAAGCGUGCUUGGGCGAGAGUAGUACUAGGAUGGGUGACCUCCCGGGAAGUCCUCGUGUUGCACCCCUUUUUAUUUUUUAAUUUUUUUUAAUGCAUCCUAAGACGAGUCUAAACUUGGAAACCUCAUAACUUUUGAACCGUGAGGAACUACGUCGCCCAUAGCACCAUUUCGGAAAGCCCCAGAAACCAUAAUGGGCGGUGAAUAGGCGGCGCCAAUUUUUCGGGCUCAAAUUCAGCCGUUUUGACCCUCAAACGGGCUGCGGAAAGUUUUGGCACGCAAAAAAGAUCGAAAGCGGAUUCUCAGGGUGUUUUUGAUGCUUUCUGAACGCCAUUAACCUCGACGCACUUUUUCGCUCGAAACAAAUUGGCAAGAAAAUCAUGUGGGUCCCACGGCCUCACAGGCUGCGAAAAGGAUAUGUAGAAACGAGAGUGAUGUACUGACGGGUGCGAUCAUACCAGCACUAAUGCACCGGAUCCCAUCAGAACUCCGCAGUUAAGCGUGCUUGGGCGAGAGUAGUACUAGGAUGGGUGACCUCCCGGGAAGUCCUCGUGUUGCACCCCUUUUUAUUUUUUAAUUUUUUUUAAUGCAUCCUAAGACGAGUCUAAACUUGGAAACCUCAUAACUUUUGAACCGUGAGGAACUACGUCGCCCAUAGCACCAUUUCGGAAAGCCCCAGAAACCAUAAUGGGCGGUGAAUAGGCGGCGCCAAUUUUUCGGGCUCAAAUUCAGCCGUUUUGACCCUCAAACGGGCUGCGGAAAGUUUUGGCACGCAAAAAAGAUCGAAAGCGGAUUCUCAGGGUGUUUUUGAUGCUUUCUGAACGCCAUUAACCUCGACGCACUUUUUCGCUCGAAACAAAUUGGCAAGAAAAUCAUGUGGGUCCCACGGCCUCACAGGCUGCGAAAAGGAUAUGUAGAAACGAGAGUGAUGUACUGACGGGUGCGAUCAUACCAGCACUAAUGCACCGGAUCCCAUCAGAACUCCGCAGUUAAGCGUGCUUGGGCGAGAGUAGUACUAGGAUGGGUGACCUCCCGGGAAGUCCUCGUGUUGCACCCCUUUUUAUUUUUUAAUUUUUUUUAAUGCAUCCUAAGACGAGUCUAAACUUGGAAACCUCAUAACUUUUGAACCGUGAGGAACUACGUCGCCCAUAGCACCAUUUCGGAAAGCCCCAGAAACCAUAAUGGGCGGUGAAUAGGCGGCGCCAAUUUUUCGGGCUCAAAUUCAGCCGUUUUGACCCUCAAACGGGCUGCGGAAAGUUUUGGCACGCAAAAAAGAUCGAAAGCGGAUUCUCAGGGUGUUUUUGAUGCUUUCUGAACGCCAUUAACCUCGACGCACUUUUUCGCUCGAAACAAAUUGGCAAGAAAAUCAUGUGGGUCCCACGGCCUCACAGGCUGCGAAAAGGAUAUGUAGAAACGAGAGUGAUGUACUGACGGGUGCGAUCAUACCAGCACUAAUGCACCGGAUCCCAUCAGAACUCCGCAGUUAAGCGUGCUUGGGCGAGAGUAGUACUAGGAUGGGUGACCUCCCGGGAAGUCCUCGUGUUGCACCCCUUUUUAUUUUUUAAUUUUUUUUAAUGCAUCCUAAGACGAGUCUAAACUUGGAAACCUCAUAACUUUUGAACCGUGAGGAACUACGUCGCCCAUAGCACCAUUUCGGAAAGCCCCAGAAACCAUAAUGGGCGGUGAAUAGGCGGCGCCAAUUUUUCGGGCUCAAAUUCAGCCGUUUUGACCCUCAAACGGGCUGCGGAAAGUUUUGGCACGCAAAAAAGAUCGAAAGCGGAUUCUCAGGGUGUUUUUGAUGCUUUCUGAACGCCAUUAACCUCGACGCACUUUUUCGCUCGAAACAAAUUGGCAAGAAAAUCAUGUGGGUCCCACGGCCUCACAGGCUGCGAAAAGGAUAUGUAGAAACGAGAGUGAUGUACUGACGGGUGCGAUCAUACCAGCACUAAUGCACCGGAUCCCAUCAGAACUCCGCAGUUAAGCGUGCUUGGGCGAGAGUAGUACUAGGAUGGGUGACCUCCCGGGAAGUCCUCGUGUUGCACCCCUUUUUAUUUUUUAAUUUUUUUUAAUGCAUCCUAAGACGAGUCUAAACUUGGAAACCUCAUAACUUUUGAACCGUGAGGAACUACGUCGCCCAUAGCACCAUUUCGGAAAGCCCCAGAAACCAUAAUGGGCGGUGAAUAGGCGGCGCCAAUUUUUCGGGCUCAAAUUCAGCCGUUUUGACCCUCAAACGGGCUGCGGAAAGUUUUGGCACGCAAAAAAGAUCGAAAGCGGAUUCUCAGGGUGUUUUUGAUGCUUUCUGAACGCCAUUAACCUCGACGCACUUUUUCGCUCGAAACAAAUUGGCAAGAAAAUCAUGUGGGUCCCACGGCCUCACAGGCUGCGAAAAGGAUAUGUAGAAACGAGAGUGAUGUACUGACGGGUGCGAUCAUACCAGCACUAAUGCACCGGAUCCCAUCAGAACUCCGCAGUUAAGCGUGCUUGGGCGAGAGUAGUACUAGGAUGGGUGACCUCCCGGGAAGUCCUCGUGUUGCACCCCUUUUUAUUUUUUAAUUUUUUUUAAUGCAUCCUAAGACGAGUCUAAACUUGGAAACCUCAUAACUUUUGAACCGUGAGGAACUACGUCGCCCAUAGCACCAUUUCGGAAAGCCCCAGAAACCAUAAUGGGCGGUGAAUAGGCGGCGCCAAUUUUUCGGGCUCAAAUUCAGCCGUUUUGACCCUCAAACGGGCUGCGGAAAGUUUUGGCACGCAAAAAAGAUCGAAAGCGGAUUCUCAGGGUGUUUUUGAUGCUUUCUGAACGCCAUUAACCUCGACGCACUUUUUCGCUCGAAACAAAUUGGCAAGAAAAUCAUGUGGGUCCCACGGCCUCACAGGCUGCGAAAAGGAUAUGUAGAAACGAGAGUGAUGUACUGACGGGUGCGAUCAUACCAGCACUAAUGCACCGGAUCCCAUCAGAACUCCGCAGUUAAGCGUGCUUGGGCGAGAGUAGUACUAGGAUGGGUGACCUCCCGGGAAGUCCUCGUGUUGCACCCCUUUUUAUUUUUUAAUUUUUUUUAAUGCAUCCUAAGACGAGUCUAAACUUGGAAACCUCAUAACUUUUGAACCGUGAGGAACUACGUCGCCCAUAGCACCAUUUCGGAAAGCCCCAGAAACCAUAAUGGGCGGUGAAUAGGCGGCGCCAAUUUUUCGGGCUCAAAUUCAGCCGUUUUGACCCUCAAACGGGCUGCGGAAAGUUUUGGCACGCAAAAAAGAUCGAAAGCGGAUUCUCAGGGUGUUUUUGAUGCUUUCUGAACGCCAUUAACCUCGACGCACUUUUUCGCUCGAAACAAAUUGGCAAGAAAAUCAUGUGGGUCCCACGGCCUCACAGGCUGCGAAAAGGAUAUGUAGAAACGAGAGUGAUGUACUGACGGGUGCGAUCAUACCAGCACUAAUGCACCGGAUCCCAUCAGAACUCCGCAGUUAAGCGUGCUUGGGCGAGAGUAGUACUAGGAUGGGUGACCUCCCGGGAAGUCCUCGUGUUGCACCCCUUUUUAUUUUUUAAUUUUUUUUAAUGCAUCCUAAGACGAGUCUAAACUUGGAAACCUCAUAACUUUUGAACCGUGAGGAACUACGUCGCCCAUAGCACCAUUUCGGAAAGCCCCAGAAACCAUAAUGGGCGGUGAAUAGGCGGCGCCAAUUUUUCGGGCUCAAAUUCAGCCGUUUUGACCCUCAAACGGGCUGCGGAAAGUUUUGGCACGCAAAAAAGAUCGAAAGCGGAUUCUCAGGGUGUUUUUGAUGCUUUCUGAACGCCAUUAACCUCGACGCACUUUUUCGCUCGAAACAAAUUGGCAAGAAAAUCAUGUGGGUCCCACGGCCUCACAGGCUGCGAAAAGGAUAUGUAGAAACGAGAGUGAUGUACUGACGGGUGCGAUCAUACCAGCACUAAUGCACCGGAUCCCAUCAGAACUCCGCAGUUAAGCGUGCUUGGGCGAGAGUAGUACUAGGAUGGGUGACCUCCCGGGAAGUCCUCGUGUUGCACCCCUUUUUAUUUUUUAAUUUUUUUUAAUGCAUCCUAAGACGAGUCUAAACUUGGAAACCUCAUAACUUUUGAACCGUGAGGAACUACGUCGCCCAUAGCACCAUUUCGGAAAGCCCCAGAAACCAUAAUGGGCGGUGAAUAGGCGGCGCCAAUUUUUCGGGCUCAAAUUCAGCCGUUUUGACCCUCAAACGGGCUGCGGAAAGUUUUGGCACGCAAAAAAGAUCGAAAGCGGAUUCUCAGGGUGUUUUUGAUGCUUUCUGAACGCCAUUAACCUCGACGCACUUUUUCGCUCGAAACAAAUUGGCAAGAAAAUCAUGUGGGUCCCACGGCCUCACAGGCUGCGAAAAGGAUAUGUAGAAACGAGAGUGAUGUACUGACGGGUGCGAUCAUACCAGCACUAAUGCACCGGAUCCCAUCAGAACUCCGCAGUUAAGCGUGCUUGGGCGAGAGUAGUACUAGGAUGGGUGACCUCCCGGGAAGUCCUCGUGUUGCACCCCUUUUUAUUUUUUAAUUUUUUUUAAUGCAUCCUAAGACGAGUCUAAACUUGGAAACCUCAUAACUUUUGAACCGUGAGGAACUACGUCGCCCAUAGCACCAUUUCGGAAAGCCCCAGAAACCAUAAUGGGCGGUGAAUAGGCGGCGCCAAUUUUUCGGGCUCAAAUUCAGCCGUUUUGACCCUCAAACGGGCUGCGGAAAGUUUUGGCACGCAAAAAAGAUCGAAAGCGGAUUCUCAGGGUGUUUUUGAUGCUUUCUGAACGCCAUUAACCUCGACGCACUUUUUCGCUCGAAACAAAUUGGCAAGAAAAUCAUGUGGGUCCCACGGCCUCACAGGCUGCGAAAAGGAUAUGUAGAAACGAGAGUGAUGUACUGACGGGUGCGAUCAUACCAGCACUAAUGCACCGGAUCCCAUCAGAACUCCGCAGUUAAGCGUGCUUGGGCGAGAGUAGUACUAGGAUGGGUGACCUCCCGGGAAGUCCUCGUGUUGCACCCCUUUUUAUUUUUUAAUUUUUUUUAAUGCAUCCUAAGACGAGUCUAAACUUGGAAACCUCAUAACUUUUGAACCGUGAGGAACUACGUCGCCCAUAGCACCAUUUCGGAAAGCCCCAGAAACCAUAAUGGGCGGUGAAUAGGCGGCGCCAAUUUUUCGGGCUCAAAUUCAGCCGUUUUGACCCUCAAACGGGCUGCGGAAAGUUUUGGCACGCAAAAAAGAUCGAAAGCGGAUUCUCAGGGUGUUUUUGAUGCUUUCUGAACGCCAUUAACCUCGACGCACUUUUUCGCUCGAAACAAAUUGGCAAGAAAAUCAUGUGGGUCCCACGGCCUCACAGGCUGCGAAAAGGAUAUGUAGAAACGAGAGUGAUGUACUGACGGGUGCGAUCAUACCAGCACUAAUGCACCGGAUCCCAUCAGAACUCCGCAGUUAAGCGUGCUUGGGCGAGAGUAGUACUAGGAUGGGUGACCUCCCGGGAAGUCCUCGUGUUGCACCCCUUUUUAUUUUUUAAUUUUUUUUAAUGCAUCCUAAGACGAGUCUAAACUUGGAAACCUCAUAACUUUUGAACCGUGAGGAACUACGUCGCCCAUAGCACCAUUUCGGAAAGCCCCAGAAACCAUAAUGGGCGGUGAAUAGGCGGCGCCAAUUUUUCGGGCUCAAAUUCAGCCGUUUUGACCCUCAAACGGGCUGCGGAAAGUUUUGGCACGCAAAAAAGAUCGAAAGCGGAUUCUCAGGGUGUUUUUGAUGCUUUCUGAACGCCAUUAACCUCGACGCACUUUUUCGCUCGAAACAAAUUGGCAAGAAAAUCAUGUGGGUCCCACGGCCUCACAGGCUGCGAAAAGGAUAUGUAGAAACGAGAGUGAUGUACUGACGGGUGCGAUCAUACCAGCACUAAUGCACCGGAUCCCAUCAGAACUCCGCAGUUAAGCGUGCUUGGGCGAGAGUAGUACUAGGAUGGGUGACCUCCCGGGAAGUCCUCGUGUUGCACCCCUUUUUAUUUUUUAAUUUUUUUUAAUGCAUCCUAAGACGAGUCUAAACUUGGAAACCUCAUAACUUUUGAACCGUGAGGAACUACGUCGCCCAUAGCACCAUUUCGGAAAGCCCCAGAAACCAUAAUGGGCGGUGAAUAGGCGGCGCCAAUUUUUCGGGCUCAAAUUCAGCCGUUUUGACCCUCAAACGGGCUGCGGAAAGUUUUGGCACGCAAAAAAGAUCGAAAGCGGAUUCUCAGGGUGUUUUUGAUGCUUUCUGAACGCCAUUAACCUCGACGCACUUUUUCGCUCGAAACAAAUUGGCAAGAAAAUCAUGUGGGUCCCACGGCCUCACAGGCUGCGAAAAGGAUAUGUAGAAACGAGAGUGAUGUACUGACGGGUGCGAUCAUACCAGCACUAAUGCACCGGAUCCCAUCAGAACUCCGCAGUUAAGCGUGCUUGGGCGAGAGUAGUACUAGGAUGGGUGACCUCCCGGGAAGUCCUCGUGUUGCACCCCUUUUUAUUUUUUAAUUUUUUUUAAUGCAUCCUAAGACGAGUCUAAACUUGGAAACCUCAUAACUUUUGAACCGUGAGGAACUACGUCGCCCAUAGCACCAUUUCGGAAAGCCCCAGAAACCAUAAUGGGCGGUGAAUAGGCGGCGCCAAUUUUUCGGGCUCAAAUUCAGCCGUUUUGACCCUCAAACGGGCUGCGGAAAGUUUUGGCACGCAAAAAAGAUCGAAAGCGGAUUCUCAGGGUGUUUUUGAUGCUUUCUGAACGCCAUUAACCUCGACGCACUUUUUCGCUCGAAACAAAUUGGCAAGAAAAUCAUGUGGGUCCCACGGCCUCACAGGCUGCGAAAAGGAUAUGUAGAAACGAGAGUGAUGUACUGACGGGUGCGAUCAUACCAGCACUAAUGCACCGGAUCCCAUCAGAACUCCGCAGUUAAGCGUGCUUGGGCGAGAGUAGUACUAGGAUGGGUGACCUCCCGGGAAGUCCUCGUGUUGCACCCCUUUUUAUUUUUUAAUUUUUUUUAAUGCAUCCUAAGACGAGUCUAAACUUGGAAACCUCAUAACUUUUGAACCGUGAGGAACUACGUCGCCCAUAGCACCAUUUCGGAAAGCCCCAGAAACCAUAAUGGGCGGUGAAUAGGCGGCGCCAAUUUUUCGGGCUCAAAUUCAGCCGUUUUGACCCUCAAACGGGCUGCGGAAAGUUUUGGCACGCAAAAAAGAUCGAAAGCGGAUUCUCAGGGUGUUUUUGAUGCUUUCUGAACGCCAUUAACCUCGACGCACUUUUUCGCUCGAAACAAAUUGGCAAGAAAAUCAUGUGGGUCCCACGGCCUCACAGGCUGCGAAAAGGAUAUGUAGAAACGAGAGUGAUGUACUGACGGGUGCGAUCAUACCAGCACUAAUGCACCGGAUCCCAUCAGAACUCCGCAGUUAAGCGUGCUUGGGCGAGAGUAGUACUAGGAUGGGUGACCUCCCGGGAAGUCCUCGUGUUGCACCCCUUUUUAUUUUUUAAUUUUUUUUAAUGCAUCCUAAGACGAGUCUAAACUUGGAAACCUCAUAACUUUUGAACCGUGAGGAACUACGUCGCCCAUAGCACCAUUUCGGAAAGCCCCAGAAACCAUAAUGGGCGGUGAAUAGGCGGCGCCAAUUUUUCGGGCUCAAAUUCAGCCGUUUUGACCCUCAAACGGGCUGCGGAAAGUUUUGGCACGCAAAAAAGAUCGAAAGCGGAUUCUCAGGGUGUUUUUGAUGCUUUCUGAACGCCAUUAACCUCGACGCACUUUUUCGCUCGAAACAAAUUGGCAAGAAAAUCAUGUGGGUCCCACGGCCUCACAGGCUGCGAAAAGGAUAUGUAGAAACGAGAGUGAUGUACUGACGGGUGCGAUCAUACCAGCACUAAUGCACCGGAUCCCAUCAGAACUCCGCAGUUAAGCGUGCUUGGGCGAGAGUAGUACUAGGAUGGGUGACCUCCCGGGAAGUCCUCGUGUUGCACCCCUUUUUAUUUUUUAAUUUUUUUUAAUGCAUCCUAAGACGAGUCUAAACUUGGAAACCUCAUAACUUUUGAACCGUGAGGAACUACGUCGCCCAUAGCACCAUUUCGGAAAGCCCCAGAAACCAUAAUGGGCGGUGAAUAGGCGGCGCCAAUUUUUCGGGCUCAAAUUCAGCCGUUUUGACCCUCAAACGGGCUGCGGAAAGUUUUGGCACGCAAAAAAGAUCGAAAGCGGAUUCUCAGGGUGUUUUUGAUGCUUUCUGAACGCCAUUAACCUCGACGCACUUUUUCGCUCGAAACAAAUUGGCAAGAAAAUCAUGUGGGUCCCACGGCCUCACAGGCUGCGAAAAGGAUAUGUAGAAACGAGAGUGAUGUACUGACGGGUGCGAUCAUACCAGCACUAAUGCACCGGAUCCCAUCAGAACUCCGCAGUUAAGCGUGCUUGGGCGAGAGUAGUACUAGGAUGGGUGACCUCCCGGGAAGUCCUCGUGUUGCACCCCUUUUUAUUUUUUAAUUUUUUUUAAUGCAUCCUAAGACGAGUCUAAACUUGGAAACCUCAUAACUUUUGAACCGUGAGGAACUACGUCGCCCAUAGCACCAUUUCGGAAAGCCCCAGAAACCAUAAUGGGCGGUGAAUAGGCGGCGCCAAUUUUUCGGGCUCAAAUUCAGCCGUUUUGACCCUCAAACGGGCUGCGGAAAGUUUUGGCACGCAAAAAAGAUCGAAAGCGGAUUCUCAGGGUGUUUUUGAUGCUUUCUGAACGCCAUUAACCUCGACGCACUUUUUCGCUCGAAACAAAUUGGCAAGAAAAUCAUGUGGGUCCCACGGCCUCACAGGCUGCGAAAAGGAUAUGUAGAAACGAGAGUGAUGUACUGACGGGUGCGAUCAUACCAGCACUAAUGCACCGGAUCCCAUCAGAACUCCGCAGUUAAGCGUGCUUGGGCGAGAGUAGUACUAGGAUGGGUGACCUCCCGGGAAGUCCUCGUGUUGCACCCCUUUUUAUUUUUUAAUUUUUUUUAAUGCAUCCUAAGACGAGUCUAAACUUGGAAACCUCAUAACUUUUGAACCGUGAGGAACUACGUCGCCCAUAGCACCAUUUCGGAAAGCCCCAGAAACCAUAAUGGGCGGUGAAUAGGCGGCGCCAAUUUUUCGGGCUCAAAUUCAGCCGUUUUGACCCUCAAACGGGCUGCGGAAAGUUUUGGCACGCAAAAAAGAUCGAAAGCGGAUUCUCAGGGUGUUUUUGAUGCUUUCUGAACGCCAUUAACCUCGACGCACUUUUUCGCUCGAAACAAAUUGGCAAGAAAAUCAUGUGGGUCCCACGGCCUCACAGGCUGCGAAAAGGAUAUGUAGAAACGAGAGUGAUGUACUGACGGGUGCGAUCAUACCAGCACUAAUGCACCGGAUCCCAUCAGAACUCCGCAGUUAAGCGUGCUUGGGCGAGAGUAGUACUAGGAUGGGUGACCUCCCGGGAAGUCCUCGUGUUGCACCCCUUUUUAUUUUUUAAUUUUUUUUAAUGCAUCCUAAGACGAGUCUAAACUUGGAAACCUCAUAACUUUUGAACCGUGAGGAACUACGUCGCCCAUAGCACCAUUUCGGAAAGCCCCAGAAACCAUAAUGGGCGGUGAAUAGGCGGCGCCAAUUUUUCGGGCUCAAAUUCAGCCGUUUUGACCCUCAAACGGGCUGCGGAAAGUUUUGGCACGCAAAAAAGAUCGAAAGCGGAUUCUCAGGGUGUUUUUGAUGCUUUCUGAACGCCAUUAACCUCGACGCACUUUUUCGCUCGAAACAAAUUGGCAAGAAAAUCAUGUGGGUCCCACGGCCUCACAGGCUGCGAAAAGGAUAUGUAGAAACGAGAGUGAUGUACUGACGGGUGCGAUCAUACCAGCACUAAUGCACCGGAUCCCAUCAGAACUCCGCAGUUAAGCGUGCUUGGGCGAGAGUAGUACUAGGAUGGGUGACCUCCCGGGAAGUCCUCGUGUUGCACCCCUUUUUAUUUUUUAAUUUUUUUUAAUGCAUCCUAAGACGAGUCUAAACUUGGAAACCUCAUAACUUUUGAACCGUGAGGAACUACGUCGCCCAUAGCACCAUUUCGGAAAGCCCCAGAAACCAUAAUGGGCGGUGAAUAGGCGGCGCCAAUUUUUCGGGCUCAAAUUCAGCCGUUUUGACCCUCAAACGGGCUGCGGAAAGUUUUGGCACGCAAAAAAGAUCGAAAGCGGAUUCUCAGGGUGUUUUUGAUGCUUUCUGAACGCCAUUAACCUCGACGCACUUUUUCGCUCGAAACAAAUUGGCAAGAAAAUCAUGUGGGUCCCACGGCCUCACAGGCUGCGAAAAGGAUAUGUAGAAACGAGAGUGAUGUACUGACGGGUGCGAUCAUACCAGCACUAAUGCACCGGAUCCCAUCAGAACUCCGCAGUUAAGCGUGCUUGGGCGAGAGUAGUACUAGGAUGGGUGACCUCCCGGGAAGUCCUCGUGUUGCACCCCUUUUUAUUUUUUAAUUUUUUUUAAUGCAUCCUAAGACGAGUCUAAACUUGGAAACCUCAUAACUUUUGAACCGUGAGGAACUACGUCGCCCAUAGCACCAUUUCGGAAAGCCCCAGAAACCAUAAUGGGCGGUGAAUAGGCGGCGCCAAUUUUUCGGGCUCAAAUUCAGCCGUUUUGACCCUCAAACGGGCUGCGGAAAGUUUUGGCACGCAAAAAAGAUCGAAAGCGGAUUCUCAGGGUGUUUUUGAUGCUUUCUGAACGCCAUUAACCUCGACGCACUUUUUCGCUCGAAACAAAUUGGCAAGAAAAUCAUGUGGGUCCCACGGCCUCACAGGCUGCGAAAAGGAUAUGUAGAAACGAGAGUGAUGUACUGACGGGUGCGAUCAUACCAGCACUAAUGCACCGGAUCCCAUCAGAACUCCGCAGUUAAGCGUGCUUGGGCGAGAGUAGUACUAGGAUGGGUGACCUCCCGGGAAGUCCUCGUGUUGCACCCCUUUUUAUUUUUUAAUUUUUUUUAAUGCAUCCUAAGACGAGUCUAAACUUGGAAACCUCAUAACUUUUGAACCGUGAGGAACUACGUCGCCCAUAGCACCAUUUCGGAAAGCCCCAGAAACCAUAAUGGGCGGUGAAUAGGCGGCGCCAAUUUUUCGGGCUCAAAUUCAGCCGUUUUGACCCUCAAACGGGCUGCGGAAAGUUUUGGCACGCAAAAAAGAUCGAAAGCGGAUUCUCAGGGUGUUUUUGAUGCUUUCUGAACGCCAUUAACCUCGACGCACUUUUUCGCUCGAAACAAAUUGGCAAGAAAAUCAUGUGGGUCCCACGGCCUCACAGGCUGCGAAAAGGAUAUGUAGAAACGAGAGUGAUGUACUGACGGGUGCGAUCAUACCAGCACUAAUGCACCGGAUCCCAUCAGAACUCCGCAGUUAAGCGUGCUUGGGCGAGAGUAGUACUAGGAUGGGUGACCUCCCGGGAAGUCCUCGUGUUGCACCCCUUUUUAUUUUUUAAUUUUUUUUAAUGCAUCCUAAGACGAGUCUAAACUUGGAAACCUCAUAACUUUUGAACCGUGAGGAACUACGUCGCCCAUAGCACCAUUUCGGAAAGCCCCAGAAACCAUAAUGGGCGGUGAAUAGGCGGCGCCAAUUUUUCGGGCUCAAAUUCAGCCGUUUUGACCCUCAAACGGGCUGCGGAAAGUUUUGGCACGCAAAAAAGAUCGAAAGCGGAUUCUCAGGGUGUUUUUGAUGCUUUCUGAACGCCAUUAACCUCGACGCACUUUUUCGCUCGAAACAAAUUGGCAAGAAAAUCAUGUGGGUCCCACGGCCUCACAGGCUGCGAAAAGGAUAUGUAGAAACGAGAGUGAUGUACUGACGGGUGCGAUCAUACCAGCACUAAUGCACCGGAUCCCAUCAGAACUCCGCAGUUAAGCGUGCUUGGGCGAGAGUAGUACUAGGAUGGGUGACCUCCCGGGAAGUCCUCGUGUUGCACCCCUUUUUAUUUUUUAAUUUUUUUUAAUGCAUCCUAAGACGAGUCUAAACUUGGAAACCUCAUAACUUUUGAACCGUGAGGAACUACGUCGCCCAUAGCACCAUUUCGGAAAGCCCCAGAAACCAUAAUGGGCGGUGAAUAGGCGGCGCCAAUUUUUCGGGCUCAAAUUCAGCCGUUUUGACCCUCAAACGGGCUGCGGAAAGUUUUGGCACGCAAAAAAGAUCGAAAGCGGAUUCUCAGGGUGUUUUUGAUGCUUUCUGAACGCCAUUAACCUCGACGCACUUUUUCGCUCGAAACAAAUUGGCAAGAAAAUCAUGUGGGUCCCACGGCCUCACAGGCUGCGAAAAGGAUAUGUAGAAACGAGAGUGAUGUACUGACGGGUGCGAUCAUACCAGCACUAAUGCACCGGAUCCCAUCAGAACUCCGCAGUUAAGCGUGCUUGGGCGAGAGUAGUACUAGGAUGGGUGACCUCCCGGGAAGUCCUCGUGUUGCACCCCUUUUUAUUUUUUAAUUUUUUUUAAUGCAUCCUAAGACGAGUCUAAACUUGGAAACCUCAUAACUUUUGAACCGUGAGGAACUACGUCGCCCAUAGCACCAUUUCGGAAAGCCCCAGAAACCAUAAUGGGCGGUGAAUAGGCGGCGCCAAUUUUUCGGGCUCAAAUUCAGCCGUUUUGACCCUCAAACGGGCUGCGGAAAGUUUUGGCACGCAAAAAAGAUCGAAAGCGGAUUCUCAGGGUGUUUUUGAUGCUUUCUGAACGCCAUUAACCUCGACGCACUUUUUCGCUCGAAACAAAUUGGCAAGAAAAUCAUGUGGGUCCCACGGCCUCACAGGCUGCGAAAAGGAUAUGUAGAAACGAGAGUGAUGUACUGACGGGUGCGAUCAUACCAGCACUAAUGCACCGGAUCCCAUCAGAACUCCGCAGUUAAGCGUGCUUGGGCGAGAGUAGUACUAGGAUGGGUGACCUCCCGGGAAGUCCUCGUGUUGCACCCCUUUUUAUUUUUUAAUUUUUUUUAAUGCAUCCUAAGACGAGUCUAAACUUGGAAACCUCAUAACUUUUGAACCGUGAGGAACUACGUCGCCCAUAGCACCAUUUCGGAAAGCCCCAGAAACCAUAAUGGGCGGUGAAUAGGCGGCGCCAAUUUUUCGGGCUCAAAUUCAGCCGUUUUGACCCUCAAACGGGCUGCGGAAAGUUUUGGCACGCAAAAAAGAUCGAAAGCGGAUUCUCAGGGUGUUUUUGAUGCUUUCUGAACGCCAUUAACCUCGACGCACUUUUUCGCUCGAAACAAAUUGGCAAGAAAAUCAUGUGGGUCCCACGGCCUCACAGGCUGCGAAAAGGAUAUGUAGAAACGAGAGUGAUGUACUGACGGGUGCGAUCAUACCAGCACUAAUGCACCGGAUCCCAUCAGAACUCCGCAGUUAAGCGUGCUUGGGCGAGAGUAGUACUAGGAUGGGUGACCUCCCGGGAAGUCCUCGUGUUGCACCCCUUUUUAUUUUUUAAUUUUUUUUAAUGCAUCCUAAGACGAGUCUAAACUUGGAAACCUCAUAACUUUUGAACCGUGAGGAACUACGUCGCCCAUAGCACCAUUUCGGAAAGCCCCAGAAACCAUAAUGGGCGGUGAAUAGGCGGCGCCAAUUUUUCGGGCUCAAAUUCAGCCGUUUUGACCCUCAAACGGGCUGCGGAAAGUUUUGGCACGCAAAAAAGAUCGAAAGCGGAUUCUCAGGGUGUUUUUGAUGCUUUCUGAACGCCAUUAACCUCGACGCACUUUUUCGCUCGAAACAAAUUGGCAAGAAAAUCAUGUGGGUCCCACGGCCUCACAGGCUGCGAAAAGGAUAUGUAGAAACGAGAGUGAUGUACUGACGGGUGCGAUCAUACCAGCACUAAUGCACCGGAUCCCAUCAGAACUCCGCAGUUAAGCGUGCUUGGGCGAGAGUAGUACUAGGAUGGGUGACCUCCCGGGAAGUCCUCGUGUUGCACCCCUUUUUAUUUUUUAAUUUUUUUUAAUGCAUCCUAAGACGAGUCUAAACUUGGAAACCUCAUAACUUUUGAACCGUGAGGAACUACGUCGCCCAUAGCACCAUUUCGGAAAGCCCCAGAAACCAUAAUGGGCGGUGAAUAGGCGGCGCCAAUUUUUCGGGCUCAAAUUCAGCCGUUUUGACCCUCAAACGGGCUGCGGAAAGUUUUGGCACGCAAAAAAGAUCGAAAGCGGAUUCUCAGGGUGUUUUUGAUGCUUUCUGAACGCCAUUAACCUCGACGCACUUUUUCGCUCGAAACAAAUUGGCAAGAAAAUCAUGUGGGUCCCACGGCCUCACAGGCUGCGAAAAGGAUAUGUAGAAACGAGAGUGAUGUACUGACGGGUGCGAUCAUACCAGCACUAAUGCACCGGAUCCCAUCAGAACUCCGCAGUUAAGCGUGCUUGGGCGAGAGUAGUACUAGGAUGGGUGACCUCCCGGGAAGUCCUCGUGUUGCACCCCUUUUUAUUUUUUAAUUUUUUUUAAUGCAUCCUAAGACGAGUCUAAACUUGGAAACCUCAUAACUUUUGAACCGUGAGGAACUACGUCGCCCAUAGCACCAUUUCGGAAAGCCCCAGAAACCAUAAUGGGCGGUGAAUAGGCGGCGCCAAUUUUUCGGGCUCAAAUUCAGCCGUUUUGACCCUCAAACGGGCUGCGGAAAGUUUUGGCACGCAAAAAAGAUCGAAAGCGGAUUCUCAGGGUGUUUUUGAUGCUUUCUGAACGCCAUUAACCUCGACGCACUUUUUCGCUCGAAACAAAUUGGCAAGAAAAUCAUGUGGGUCCCACGGCCUCACAGGCUGCGAAAAGGAUAUGUAGAAACGAGAGUGAUGUACUGACGGGUGCGAUCAUACCAGCACUAAUGCACCGGAUCCCAUCAGAACUCCGCAGUUAAGCGUGCUUGGGCGAGAGUAGUACUAGGAUGGGUGACCUCCCGGGAAGUCCUCGUGUUGCACCCCUUUUUAUUUUUUAAUUUUUUUUAAUGCAUCCUAAGACGAGUCUAAACUUGGAAACCUCAUAACUUUUGAACCGUGAGGAACUACGUCGCCCAUAGCACCAUUUCGGAAAGCCCCAGAAACCAUAAUGGGCGGUGAAUAGGCGGCGCCAAUUUUUCGGGCUCAAAUUCAGCCGUUUUGACCCUCAAACGGGCUGCGGAAAGUUUUGGCACGCAAAAAAGAUCGAAAGCGGAUUCUCAGGGUGUUUUUGAUGCUUUCUGAACGCCAUUAACCUCGACGCACUUUUUCGCUCGAAACAAAUUGGCAAGAAAAUCAUGUGGGUCCCACGGCCUCACAGGCUGCGAAAAGGAUAUGUAGAAACGAGAGUGAUGUACUGACGGGUGCGAUCAUACCAGCACUAAUGCACCGGAUCCCAUCAGAACUCCGCAGUUAAGCGUGCUUGGGCGAGAGUAGUACUAGGAUGGGUGACCUCCCGGGAAGUCCUCGUGUUGCACCCCUUUUUAUUUUUUAAUUUUUUUUAAUGCAUCCUAAGACGAGUCUAAACUUGGAAACCUCAUAACUUUUGAACCGUGAGGAACUACGUCGCCCAUAGCACCAUUUCGGAAAGCCCCAGAAACCAUAAUGGGCGGUGAAUAGGCGGCGCCAAUUUUUCGGGCUCAAAUUCAGCCGUUUUGACCCUCAAACGGGCUGCGGAAAGUUUUGGCACGCAAAAAAGAUCGAAAGCGGAUUCUCAGGGUGUUUUUGAUGCUUUCUGAACGCCAUUAACCUCGACGCACUUUUUCGCUCGAAACAAAUUGGCAAGAAAAUCAUGUGGGUCCCACGGCCUCACAGGCUGCGAAAAGGAUAUGUAGAAACGAGAGUGAUGUACUGACGGGUGCGAUCAUACCAGCACUAAUGCACCGGAUCCCAUCAGAACUCCGCAGUUAAGCGUGCUUGGGCGAGAGUAGUACUAGGAUGGGUGACCUCCCGGGAAGUCCUCGUGUUGCACCCCUUUUUAUUUUUUAAUUUUUUUUAAUGCAUCCUAAGACGAGUCUAAACUUGGAAACCUCAUAACUUUUGAACCGUGAGGAACUACGUCGCCCAUAGCACCAUUUCGGAAAGCCCCAGAAACCAUAAUGGGCGGUGAAUAGGCGGCGCCAAUUUUUCGGGCUCAAAUUCAGCCGUUUUGACCCUCAAACGGGCUGCGGAAAGUUUUGGCACGCAAAAAAGAUCGAAAGCGGAUUCUCAGGGUGUUUUUGAUGCUUUCUGAACGCCAUUAACCUCGACGCACUUUUUCGCUCGAAACAAAUUGGCAAGAAAAUCAUGUGGGUCCCACGGCCUCACAGGCUGCGAAAAGGAUAUGUAGAAACGAGAGUGAUGUACUGACGGGUGCGAUCAUACCAGCACUAAUGCACCGGAUCCCAUCAGAACUCCGCAGUUAAGCGUGCUUGGGCGAGAGUAGUACUAGGAUGGGUGACCUCCCGGGAAGUCCUCGUGUUGCACCCCUUUUUAUUUUUUAAUUUUUUUUAAUGCAUCCUAAGACGAGUCUAAACUUGGAAACCUCAUAACUUUUGAACCGUGAGGAACUACGUCGCCCAUAGCACCAUUUCGGAAAGCCCCAGAAACCAUAAUGGGCGGUGAAUAGGCGGCGCCAAUUUUUCGGGCUCAAAUUCAGCCGUUUUGACCCUCAAACGGGCUGCGGAAAGUUUUGGCACGCAAAAAAGAUCGAAAGCGGAUUCUCAGGGUGUUUUUGAUGCUUUCUGAACGCCAUUAACCUCGACGCACUUUUUCGCUCGAAACAAAUUGGCAAGAAAAUCAUGUGGGUCCCACGGCCUCACAGGCUGCGAAAAGGAUAUGUAGAAACGAGAGUGAUGUACUGACGGGUGCGAUCAUACCAGCACUAAUGCACCGGAUCCCAUCAGAACUCCGCAGUUAAGCGUGCUUGGGCGAGAGUAGUACUAGGAUGGGUGACCUCCCGGGAAGUCCUCGUGUUGCACCCCUUUUUAUUUUUUAAUUUUUUUUAAUGCAUCCUAAGACGAGUCUAAACUUGGAAACCUCAUAACUUUUGAACCGUGAGGAACUACGUCGCCCAUAGCACCAUUUCGGAAAGCCCCAGAAACCAUAAUGGGCGGUGAAUAGGCGGCGCCAAUUUUUCGGGCUCAAAUUCAGCCGUUUUGACCCUCAAACGGGCUGCGGAAAGUUUUGGCACGCAAAAAAGAUCGAAAGCGGAUUCUCAGGGUGUUUUUGAUGCUUUCUGAACGCCAUUAACCUCGACGCACUUUUUCGCUCGAAACAAAUUGGCAAGAAAAUCAUGUGGGUCCCACGGCCUCACAGGCUGCGAAAAGGAUAUGUAGAAACGAGAGUGAUGUACUGACGGGUGCGAUCAUACCAGCACUAAUGCACCGGAUCCCAUCAGAACUCCGCAGUUAAGCGUGCUUGGGCGAGAGUAGUACUAGGAUGGGUGACCUCCCGGGAAGUCCUCGUGUUGCACCCCUUUUUAUUUUUUAAUUUUUUUUAAUGCAUCCUAAGACGAGUCUAAACUUGGAAACCUCAUAACUUUUGAACCGUGAGGAACUACGUCGCCCAUAGCACCAUUUCGGAAAGCCCCAGAAACCAUAAUGGGCGGUGAAUAGGCGGCGCCAAUUUUUCGGGCUCAAAUUCAGCCGUUUUGACCCUCAAACGGGCUGCGGAAAGUUUUGGCACGCAAAAAAGAUCGAAAGCGGAUUCUCAGGGUGUUUUUGAUGCUUUCUGAACGCCAUUAACCUCGACGCACUUUUUCGCUCGAAACAAAUUGGCAAGAAAAUCAUGUGGGUCCCACGGCCUCACAGGCUGCGAAAAGGAUAUGUAGAAACGAGAGUGAUGUACUGACGGGUGCGAUCAUACCAGCACUAAUGCACCGGAUCCCAUCAGAACUCCGCAGUUAAGCGUGCUUGGGCGAGAGUAGUACUAGGAUGGGUGACCUCCCGGGAAGUCCUCGUGUUGCACCCCUUUUUAUUUUUUAAUUUUUUUUAAUGCAUCCUAAGACGAGUCUAAACUUGGAAACCUCAUAACUUUUGAACCGUGAGGAACUACGUCGCCCAUAGCACCAUUUCGGAAAGCCCCAGAAACCAUAAUGGGCGGUGAAUAGGCGGCGCCAAUUUUUCGGGCUCAAAUUCAGCCGUUUUGACCCUCAAACGGGCUGCGGAAAGUUUUGGCACGCAAAAAAGAUCGAAAGCGGAUUCUCAGGGUGUUUUUGAUGCUUUCUGAACGCCAUUAACCUCGACGCACUUUUUCGCUCGAAACAAAUUGGCAAGAAAAUCAUGUGGGUCCCACGGCCUCACAGGCUGCGAAAAGGAUAUGUAGAAACGAGAGUGAUGUACUGACGGGUGCGAUCAUACCAGCACUAAUGCACCGGAUCCCAUCAGAACUCCGCAGUUAAGCGUGCUUGGGCGAGAGUAGUACUAGGAUGGGUGACCUCCCGGGAAGUCCUCGUGUUGCACCCCUUUUUAUUUUUUAAUUUUUUUUAAUGCAUCCUAAGACGAGUCUAAACUUGGAAACCUCAUAACUUUUGAACCGUGAGGAACUACGUCGCCCAUAGCACCAUUUCGGAAAGCCCCAGAAACCAUAAUGGGCGGUGAAUAGGCGGCGCCAAUUUUUCGGGCUCAAAUUCAGCCGUUUUGACCCUCAAACGGGCUGCGGAAAGUUUUGGCACGCAAAAAAGAUCGAAAGCGGAUUCUCAGGGUGUUUUUGAUGCUUUCUGAACGCCAUUAACCUCGACGCACUUUUUCGCUCGAAACAAAUUGGCAAGAAAAUCAUGUGGGUCCCACGGCCUCACAGGCUGCGAAAAGGAUAUGUAGAAACGAGAGUGAUGUACUGACGGGUGCGAUCAUACCAGCACUAAUGCACCGGAUCCCAUCAGAACUCCGCAGUUAAGCGUGCUUGGGCGAGAGUAGUACUAGGAUGGGUGACCUCCCGGGAAGUCCUCGUGUUGCACCCCUUUUUAUUUUUUAAUUUUUUUUAAUGCAUCCUAAGACGAGUCUAAACUUGGAAACCUCAUAACUUUUGAACCGUGAGGAACUACGUCGCCCAUAGCACCAUUUCGGAAAGCCCCAGAAACCAUAAUGGGCGGUGAAUAGGCGGCGCCAAUUUUUCGGGCUCAAAUUCAGCCGUUUUGACCCUCAAACGGGCUGCGGAAAGUUUUGGCACGCAAAAAAGAUCGAAAGCGGAUUCUCAGGGUGUUUUUGAUGCUUUCUGAACGCCAUUAACCUCGACGCACUUUUUCGCUCGAAACAAAUUGGCAAGAAAAUCAUGUGGGUCCCACGGCCUCACAGGCUGCGAAAAGGAUAUGUAGAAACGAGAGUGAUGUACUGACGGGUGCGAUCAUACCAGCACUAAUGCACCGGAUCCCAUCAGAACUCCGCAGUUAAGCGUGCUUGGGCGAGAGUAGUACUAGGAUGGGUGACCUCCCGGGAAGUCCUCGUGUUGCACCCCUUUUUAUUUUUUAAUUUUUUUUAAUGCAUCCUAAGACGAGUCUAAACUUGGAAACCUCAUAACUUUUGAACCGUGAGGAACUACGUCGCCCAUAGCACCAUUUCGGAAAGCCCCAGAAACCAUAAUGGGCGGUGAAUAGGCGGCGCCAAUUUUUCGGGCUCAAAUUCAGCCGUUUUGACCCUCAAACGGGCUGCGGAAAGUUUUGGCACGCAAAAAAGAUCGAAAGCGGAUUCUCAGGGUGUUUUUGAUGCUUUCUGAACGCCAUUAACCUCGACGCACUUUUUCGCUCGAAACAAAUUGGCAAGAAAAUCAUGUGGGUCCCACGGCCUCACAGGCUGCGAAAAGGAUAUGUAGAAACGAGAGUGAUGUACUGACGGGUGCGAUCAUACCAGCACUAAUGCACCGGAUCCCAUCAGAACUCCGCAGUUAAGCGUGCUUGGGCGAGAGUAGUACUAGGAUGGGUGACCUCCCGGGAAGUCCUCGUGUUGCACCCCUUUUUAUUUUUUAAUUUUUUUUAAUGCAUCCUAAGACGAGUCUAAACUUGGAAACCUCAUAACUUUUGAACCGUGAGGAACUACGUCGCCCAUAGCACCAUUUCGGAAAGCCCCAGAAACCAUAAUGGGCGGUGAAUAGGCGGCGCCAAUUUUUCGGGCUCAAAUUCAGCCGUUUUGACCCUCAAACGGGCUGCGGAAAGUUUUGGCACGCAAAAAAGAUCGAAAGCGGAUUCUCAGGGUGUUUUUGAUGCUUUCUGAACGCCAUUAACCUCGACGCACUUUUUCGCUCGAAACAAAUUGGCAAGAAAAUCAUGUGGGUCCCACGGCCUCACAGGCUGCGAAAAGGAUAUGUAGAAACGAGAGUGAUGUACUGACGGGUGCGAUCAUACCAGCACUAAUGCACCGGAUCCCAUCAGAACUCCGCAGUUAAGCGUGCUUGGGCGAGAGUAGUACUAGGAUGGGUGACCUCCCGGGAAGUCCUCGUGUUGCACCCCUUUUUAUUUUUUAAUUUUUUUUAAUGCAUCCUAAGACGAGUCUAAACUUGGAAACCUCAUAACUUUUGAACCGUGAGGAACUACGUCGCCCAUAGCACCAUUUCGGAAAGCCCCAGAAACCAUAAUGGGCGGUGAAUAGGCGGCGCCAAUUUUUCGGGCUCAAAUUCAGCCGUUUUGACCCUCAAACGGGCUGCGGAAAGUUUUGGCACGCAAAAAAGAUCGAAAGCGGAUUCUCAGGGUGUUUUUGAUGCUUUCUGAACGCCAUUAACCUCGACGCACUUUUUCGCUCGAAACAAAUUGGCAAGAAAAUCAUGUGGGUCCCACGGCCUCACAGGCUGCGAAAAGGAUAUGUAGAAACGAGAGUGAUGUACUGACGGGUGCGAUCAUACCAGCACUAAUGCACCGGAUCCCAUCAGAACUCCGCAGUUAAGCGUGCUUGGGCGAGAGUAGUACUAGGAUGGGUGACCUCCCGGGAAGUCCUCGUGUUGCACCCCUUUUUAUUUUUUAAUUUUUUUUAAUGCAUCCUAAGACGAGUCUAAACUUGGAAACCUCAUAACUUUUGAACCGUGAGGAACUACGUCGCCCAUAGCACCAUUUCGGAAAGCCCCAGAAACCAUAAUGGGCGGUGAAUAGGCGGCGCCAAUUUUUCGGGCUCAAAUUCAGCCGUUUUGACCCUCAAACGGGCUGCGGAAAGUUUUGGCACGCAAAAAAGAUCGAAAGCGGAUUCUCAGGGUGUUUUUGAUGCUUUCUGAACGCCAUUAACCUCGACGCACUUUUUCGCUCGAAACAAAUUGGCAAGAAAAUCAUGUGGGUCCCACGGCCUCACAGGCUGCGAAAAGGAUAUGUAGAAACGAGAGUGAUGUACUGACGGGUGCGAUCAUACCAGCACUAAUGCACCGGAUCCCAUCAGAACUCCGCAGUUAAGCGUGCUUGGGCGAGAGUAGUACUAGGAUGGGUGACCUCCCGGGAAGUCCUCGUGUUGCACCCCUUUUUAUUUUUUAAUUUUUUUUAAUGCAUCCUAAGACGAGUCUAAACUUGGAAACCUCAUAACUUUUGAACCGUGAGGAACUACGUCGCCCAUAGCACCAUUUCGGAAAGCCCCAGAAACCAUAAUGGGCGGUGAAUAGGCGGCGCCAAUUUUUCGGGCUCAAAUUCAGCCGUUUUGACCCUCAAACGGGCUGCGGAAAGUUUUGGCACGCAAAAAAGAUCGAAAGCGGAUUCUCAGGGUGUUUUUGAUGCUUUCUGAACGCCAUUAACCUCGACGCACUUUUUCGCUCGAAACAAAUUGGCAAGAAAAUCAUGUGGGUCCCACGGCCUCACAGGCUGCGAAAAGGAUAUGUAGAAACGAGAGUGAUGUACUGACGGGUGCGAUCAUACCAGCACUAAUGCACCGGAUCCCAUCAGAACUCCGCAGUUAAGCGUGCUUGGGCGAGAGUAGUACUAGGAUGGGUGACCUCCCGGGAAGUCCUCGUGUUGCACCCCUUUUUAUUUUUUAAUUUUUUUUAAUGCAUCCUAAGACGAGUCUAAACUUGGAAACCUCAUAACUUUUGAACCGUGAGGAACUACGUCGCCCAUAGCACCAUUUCGGAAAGCCCCAGAAACCAUAAUGGGCGGUGAAUAGGCGGCGCCAAUUUUUCGGGCUCAAAUUCAGCCGUUUUGACCCUCAAACGGGCUGCGGAAAGUUUUGGCACGCAAAAAAGAUCGAAAGCGGAUUCUCAGGGUGUUUUUGAUGCUUUCUGAACGCCAUUAACCUCGACGCACUUUUUCGCUCGAAACAAAUUGGCAAGAAAAUCAUGUGGGUCCCACGGCCUCACAGGCUGCGAAAAGGAUAUGUAGAAACGAGAGUGAUGUACUGACGGGUGCGAUCAUACCAGCACUAAUGCACCGGAUCCCAUCAGAACUCCGCAGUUAAGCGUGCUUGGGCGAGAGUAGUACUAGGAUGGGUGACCUCCCGGGAAGUCCUCGUGUUGCACCCCUUUUUAUUUUUUAAUUUUUUUUAAUGCAUCCUAAGACGAGUCUAAACUUGGAAACCUCAUAACUUUUGAACCGUGAGGAACUACGUCGCCCAUAGCACCAUUUCGGAAAGCCCCAGAAACCAUAAUGGGCGGUGAAUAGGCGGCGCCAAUUUUUCGGGCUCAAAUUCAGCCGUUUUGACCCUCAAACGGGCUGCGGAAAGUUUUGGCACGCAAAAAAGAUCGAAAGCGGAUUCUCAGGGUGUUUUUGAUGCUUUCUGAACGCCAUUAACCUCGACGCACUUUUUCGCUCGAAACAAAUUGGCAAGAAAAUCAUGUGGGUCCCACGGCCUCACAGGCUGCGAAAAGGAUAUGUAGAAACGAGAGUGAUGUACUGACGGGUGCGAUCAUACCAGCACUAAUGCACCGGAUCCCAUCAGAACUCCGCAGUUAAGCGUGCUUGGGCGAGAGUAGUACUAGGAUGGGUGACCUCCCGGGAAGUCCUCGUGUUGCACCCCUUUUUAUUUUUUAAUUUUUUUUAAUGCAUCCUAAGACGAGUCUAAACUUGGAAACCUCAUAACUUUUGAACCGUGAGGAACUACGUCGCCCAUAGCACCAUUUCGGAAAGCCCCAGAAACCAUAAUGGGCGGUGAAUAGGCGGCGCCAAUUUUUCGGGCUCAAAUUCAGCCGUUUUGACCCUCAAACGGGCUGCGGAAAGUUUUGGCACGCAAAAAAGAUCGAAAGCGGAUUCUCAGGGUGUUUUUGAUGCUUUCUGAACGCCAUUAACCUCGACGCACUUUUUCGCUCGAAACAAAUUGGCAAGAAAAUCAUGUGGGUCCCACGGCCUCACAGGCUGCGAAAAGGAUAUGUAGAAACGAGAGUGAUGUACUGACGGGUGCGAUCAUACCAGCACUAAUGCACCGGAUCCCAUCAGAACUCCGCAGUUAAGCGUGCUUGGGCGAGAGUAGUACUAGGAUGGGUGACCUCCCGGGAAGUCCUCGUGUUGCACCCCUUUUUAUUUUUUAAUUUUUUUUAAUGCAUCCUAAGACGAGUCUAAACUUGGAAACCUCAUAACUUUUGAACCGUGAGGAACUACGUCGCCCAUAGCACCAUUUCGGAAAGCCCCAGAAACCAUAAUGGGCGGUGAAUAGGCGGCGCCAAUUUUUCGGGCUCAAAUUCAGCCGUUUUGACCCUCAAACGGGCUGCGGAAAGUUUUGGCACGCAAAAAAGAUCGAAAGCGGAUUCUCAGGGUGUUUUUGAUGCUUUCUGAACGCCAUUAACCUCGACGCACUUUUUCGCUCGAAACAAAUUGGCAAGAAAAUCAUGUGGGUCCCACGGCCUCACAGGUGCGAAAAGGAUAUGUAGAAACGAGAGUGAUGUACUGACGGGUGCGAUCAUACCAGCACUAAUGCACCGGAUCCCAUCAGAACUCCGCAGUUAAGCGUGCUUGGGCGAGAGUAGUACUAGGAUGGGUGACCUCCCGGGAAGUCCUCGUGUUGCACCCCUUUUUAUUUUUUAAUUUUUUUUAAUGCAUCCUAAGACGAGUCUAAACUUGGAAACCUCAUAACUUUUGAACCGUGAGGAACUACGUCGCCCAUAGCACCAUUUCGGAAAGCCCCAGAAACCAUAAUGGGCGGUGAAUAGGCGCGCGCCAAUUUUUCGGGCUCAAAUUCAGCCGUUUUGACCCUCAAACGGGCUGCGGAAAGUUUUGGCACGCAAAAAGAUCGAAAGCGGAUUCUCAGGGUGUUUUUGAUGCUUUCUGAACGCCAUUAACCUCGACGCACUUUUUCGCUCGAAACAAUUGGCAAGAAAAUCAUGUGGGUCCCACGGCCUCACAGGCUGCGAAAAGGAUAUGUAGAAACGAGAGUGAUGUACUGACGGGUGCGAUCAUACCAGCACUAAUGCACCGGAUCCCAUCAGAACUCCGCAGUUAAGCGUGCUUGGGCGAGAGUAGUACUAGGAUGGGUGACCUCCCGGGAAGUCCUCGUGUUGCACCCCUUUUUAUUUUUUAAUUUUUUUUAAUGCAUCCUAAGACGAGUCUAAACUUGGAAACCUCAUAACUUUUGAACCGUGAGGAACUACGUCGUCGCCAUAGCACCAUUUCGGAAAGCCCCAGAAACCAUAAUGGGCGGUGAAUAGGCGGCGCCAAUUUUUCGGGCUCAAAUUCAGCCGUUUUGACCCUCAAACGGGCUGCGGAAAGUUUUGGCACGCAAAAAAGAUCGAAAGCGGAUUCUCAGGGUGUUUUUGAUGCUUUCUGAACGCCAUUAACCUCGACGCACUUUUUCGCUCGAAACAAAUUGGCAAGAAAAUCAUGUGGGUCCCACGGCCUCACAGGCUGCGAAAAGGAUAUGUAGAAACGAGAGUGAUGUACUGACGGGUGCGAUCAUACCAGCACUAAUGCACCGGAUCCCAUCAGAACUCCGCAGUUAAGCGUGCUUGGGCGAGAGUAGUACUAGGAUGGGUGACCUCCCGGGAAGUCCUCGUGUUGCACCCCUUUUUAUUUUUUAAUUUUUUUAAUGCAUCCUAAGACGAGUCUAAACUUGGAAACCUCAUAACUUUUGAACCGUGAGGAACUACGUCGCCCAUAGCACCAUUUCGGAAAGCCCCAGAAACCAUAAUGGCGGUGAAUAGGCGGCGCCAAUUUUUCGGGCUCAAAUUCAGCCGUUUUGACCCUCAAACGGGCUGCGGCGGAAAAAAGAUGGGAAAAAACGUUUUUUGGUGUUACCAGAGGAAGGGUUUUUGUGUUAGUUUUUACAAAUGUUUUCACCUGAAUUGGCGUCACGUUUUGGCAACCCAAAAGAUCGAAAGCGGAUCUCAUUGGUGUUUUUAUGCUUUCUGACGCCAUUAACCUCGACCACUUUGUUCGCUCGAAACAAUUGGCAAGAAAUCAUUUGGGUCCAAGGCACGUGCCUCACAGGGUGCUGCGAAAGGAUAUGUAGAAACGAGAGUGAUGUACUGACGGGUGCGAUCAUACCAGCACUAAUGCACCGGAUCCCAUCAGAACUCCGCAGUUAAGCGUGCUUGGGCGAGAGUAGUACUAGGAUGGGUGACCUCCCGGGAAGUCCUCGUGUUGCACCCCUUUUUAUUUUUUAAUUUUUUUUAAUGCAUCCUAAGACGAGUCUAAACUUGGAAACCUCAUAACUUUUGAACCGUGAGGAACUACGUCGCCCAUAGCACCAUUUCGGAAGCCCCAGAAACCAUAAUGGGCGGUGAAUAGGCGGCGCCAAUUUUUCGGGCUCAAAUUCAGCCGUUUUGACCCUCAAACGGGCUGCGGAAAGUUUUGGCACGCAAAAAAGAUCGAAAGCGGAUUCUCAGGGUGUUUUUGAUGCUUUCUGAACGCCAUUAACCUCGACGCACUUUUUCGCUCGAAACAAAUUGGCAAGAAAAUCAUGUGGGUCCCACGGCCUCACAGGCUGCGAAAAGGAUAUGUAGAAACGAGAGUGAUGUACUGACGGGUGCGAUCAUACCAGCACUAAUGCACCGGAUCCCAUCAGAACUCCGCAGUUAAGCGUGCUUGGGCGAGAGUAGUACUAGGAUGGGUGACCUCCCGGGAAGUCCUCGUGUUGCACCCCUUUUUAUUUUUUAAUUUUUUUUAAUGCAUCCUAAGACGAGUCUAAACUUGGAAACCUCAUAACUUUUGAACCGUGAGGAACUACGUCGCCCAUAGCACCAUUUCGGAAAGCCCCAGAAACCAUAAUGGGCGGUGAAUAGGCGGCGCCAAUUUUUCGGGCUCAAAUUCACCCGUUUUGACCCUCAAACGGGCUGCGGAAAGUUUUGGCACGCAAAAAAGAUCGAAAGCGGAUUCUCAGGGUGUUUUUGAUGCUUUCUGAACGCCAUUAACCUCGACGCACUUUUUCGCUCGAAACAAAUUGGCAAGAAAAUCAUGUGGGUCCCACGGCCUCACAGGCUGCGAAAAGGAUAUGUAGAAACGAGAGUGAUGUACUGACGGGUGCGAUCAUACCAGCACUAAUGCACCGGAUCCCAUCAGAACUCCGCAGUUAAGCGUGCUUGGGCGAGAGUAGUACUAGGAUGGGUGACCUCCCGGGAAGUCCUCGUGUUGCACCCCUUUUUAUUUUUUAAUUUUUUUUAAUGCAUCCUAAGACGAGUCUAAACUUGGAAACCUCAUAACUUUUGAACCGUGAGGAACUACGUCGCCCAUAGCACCAUUUCGGAAAGCCCCAGAAACCAUAAUGGGCGGUGAAUAGGCGGCGCCAAUUUUUCGGGCUCAAAUUCAGCCGUUUUGACCCUCAAACGGGCUGCGGAAAGUUUUGGCACGCAAAAAAGAUCGAAAGCGGAUUCUCAGGGUGUUUUUGAUGCUUUCUGAACGCCAUUAACCUCGACGCACUUUUUCGCUCGAAACAAAUUGGCAAGAAAAUCAUGUGGGUCCCACGGCCUCACAGGCUGCGAAAAGGAUAUGUAGAAACGAGAGUGAUGUACUGACGGGUGCGAUCAUACCAGCACUAAUGCACCGGAUCCCAUCAGAACUCCGCAGUUAAGCGUGCUUGGGCGAGAGUAGUACUAGGAUGGGUGACCUCCCGGGAAGUCCUCGUGUUGCACCCCUUUUUAUUUUUUAAUUUUUUUUAAUGCAUCCUAAGACGAGUCUAAACUUGGAAACCUCAUAACUUUUGAACCGUGAGGAACUACGUCGCCCAUAGCACCAUUUCGGAAAGCCCCAGAAACCAUAAUGGGCGGUGAAUAGGCGGCGCCAAUUUUUCGGGCUCAAAUUCAGCCGUUUUGACCCUCAAACGGGCUGCGGAAAGUUUUGGCACGCAAAAAAGAUCGAAAGCGGAUUCUCAGGGUGUUUUUGAUGCUUUCUGAACGCCAUUAACCUCGACGCACUUUUUCGCUCGAAACAAAUUGGCAAGAAAAUCAUGUGGGUCCCACGGCCUCACAGGCUGCGAAAAGGAUAUGUAGAAACGAGAGUGAUGUACUGACGGGUGCGAUCAUACCAGCACUAAUGCACCGGAUCCCAUCAGAACUCCGCAGUUAAGCGUGCUUGGGCGAGAGUAGUACUAGGAUGGGUGACCUCCCGGGAGUCCUCGUGUUGCACCCCUUUUUAUUUUUAAAUUUUUUUUAAUGCAUCCUAAGACGAGUCUAAACUUGGAAACCUCAUAACUUUUGAACCGUGAGAACUACGUCUAAGACGAGUCUAAACUUGGAAACCUCAUAACUUUUGAACCGUGAGGAACUACGUCGCCCAUAGCACCAUUUCGGAAAGCCCCAGAAACCAUAAUGGGCGGUGAAUAGGCGGCGCCAAUUUUUCGGGCUCAAAUUCAGCCGUUUUGACCCUCAAACGGGCUGCGGAAAGUUUUGGCACGCAAAAAAAGAUCGAAAGCGGAUUCUCAGGGUGUUUUUGAUGCUUUCUGAACGCCAUUAACCUCGACGCACUUUUUCGCUCGAAACAAAUUGGCAAGAAAAUCAUGUGGGUCCCACGGCCUCACAGGCUGCGAAAAGGAUAUGUAGAAACGAGAGUGAUGUACUGACGGGUGCGAUCAUACCAGCACUAAUGCACCGGAUCCCAUCAGAACUCCGCAGUUAAGCGUGCUUGGGCGAGAGUAGUACUAGGAUGGGUGACCUCCCGGGAAGUCCUCGUGUUGCACCCCUUUUUAUUUUUUAAUUUUUUUUAAUGCAUCCUAAGACGAGUCUAAACUUGGAAACCUCAUAACUUUUGAACCGUGAGGAACUACGUCGCCCAUAGCACCAUUUCGGAAAGCCCCAGAAACCAUAAUGGGCGGUGAAUAGGCGGCGCCAAUUUUUCGGGCUCAAAUUCAGCCGUUUUGACCCUCAAACGGGCUGCGGAAAGUUUUGGCACGCAAAAAAGAUCGAAAGCGGAUUCUCAGGGUGUUUUUGAUGCUUUCUGAACGCCAUUAACCUCGACGCACUUUUUCGCUCGAAACAAAUUGGCAAGAAAAUCAUGUGGGUCCCACGGCCUCACAGGCUGCGAAAAGGAUAUGUAGAAACGAGAGUGAUGUACUGACGGGUGCGAUCAUACCAGCACUAAUGCACCGGAUCCCAUCAGAACUCCGCAGUUAAGCGUGCUUGGGCGAGAGUAGUACUAGGAUGGGUGACCUCCCGGGAAGUCCUCGUGUUGCACCCCUUUUUAUUUUUUAAUUUUUUUUAAUGCAUCCUAAGACGAGUCUAAACUUGGAAACCUCAUAACUUUUGAACCGUGAGGAACUACGUCGCCCAUAGCACCAUUUCGGAAAGCCCCAGAAACCAUAAUGGGCGGUGAAUAGGCGGCGCCAAUUUUUCGGGCUCAAAUUCAGCCGUUUUGACCCUCAAACGGGCUGCGGAAAGUUUUGGCACGCAAAAAAGAUCGAAAGCGGAUUCUCAGGGUGUUUUUGAUGCUUUCUGAACGCCAUUAACCUCGACGCACUUUUUCGCUCGAAACAAAUUGGCAAGAAAAUCAUGUGGGUCCCACGGCCUCACAGGCUGCGAAAAGAUAUGUAGAAACGAGAGUGAUGUACUGACGGGUGCGAUCAUACCAGCACUAAUGCACCGGAUCCCAUCAGAACUCCGCAGUUAAGCGUGCUUGGGCGAGAGUAGUACUAGGAUGGGUGACCUCCCGGGAAGUCCUCGUGUUGCACCCCUUUUUAUUUUUUAAUUUUUUUUAAUGCAUCCUAAGACGAGUCUAAACUUGGAAACCUCAUAACUUUUGAACCGUGAGGAACUACGUCGCCCAUAGCACCAUUUCGGAAAGCCCCAGAAACCAUAAUGGGCGGUGAAUAGGCGGCGCCAAUUUUUCGGGCUCAAAUUCAGCCGUUUUGACCCUCAAACGGGCUGCGGAAAGUUUUGGCACGCAAAAAAGAUCGAAAGCGGAUUCUCAGGGUGUUUUUGAUGCUUUCUGAACGCCAUUAACCUCGACGCACUUUUUCGCUCGAAACAAAUUGGCAAGAAAAUCAUGUGGGUCCCACGGCCUCACAGGCUGCGAAAAGGAUAUGUAGAAACGAGAGUGAUGUACUGACGGGUGCGAUCAUACCAGCACUAAUGCACCGGAUCCCAUCAGAACUCCGCAGUUAAGCGUGCUUGGGCGAGAGUAGUACUAGGAUGGGUGACCUCCCGGGAAGUCCUCGUGUUGCACCCCUUUUUAUUUUUUAAUUUUUUUUAAUGCAUCCUAAGACGAGUCUAAACUUGGAAACCUCAUAACUUUUGAACCGUGAGGAACUACGUCGCCCAUAGCACCAUUUCGGAAAGCCCCAGAAACCAUAAUGGGCGGUGAAUAGGCGGCGCCAAUUUUCGGGCUCAAAUUCAGCCGUUUUGACCCUCAAACGGGCUGCGGAAAGUUUUGGCACGCAAAAAAGAUCGAAAGCGGAUUCUCAGGGUGUUUUUGAUGCUUUCUGAACGCCAUUAACCUCGACGCACUUUUUCGCUCGAAACAAAUGGCAAGAAAAUCAUGUGGGUCCCACGGCCUCACAGGCUGCGAAAAGGAUAUGUAGAAACGAGAGUGAUGUACUGACGGGUGCGAUCAUACCAGCACUAAUGCACCGGAUCCCAUCAGAACUCCGCAGUUAAGCGUGCUUGGGCGAGAGUAGUACUAGGAUGGGUGACCUCCCGGGAAGUCCUCGUGUUGCACCCCUUUUUAUUUUUUAAUUUUUUUUAAUGCAUCCUAAGACGAGUCUAAACUUGGAAACCUCAUAACUUUUGAACCGUGAGGAACUACGUCGCCCAUAGCACCAUUUCGGAAAGCCCCAGAAACCAUAAUGGGCGGUGAAUAGGCGGCGCCAAUUUUUCGGGCUCAAAUUCAGCCGUUUUGACCCUCAAACGGGCUGCGGAAAGUUUUGGCACGCAAAAAAGAUCGAAAGCGGAUUCUCAGGGUGUUUUUGAUGCUUUCUGAACGCCAUUAACCUCGACGCACUUUUUCGCUCGAAACAAAAUGGCAAGAAAAUCAUGUGGGUCCCACGGCCUCACACAGGCUGCGAAAAGGAUAUGUAGAAACGAGAGUGAUGUACUGACGGGUGCGAUCAUACCAGCACUAAUGCACCGGAUCCCAUCAGAACUCCGCAGUUAAGCGUGCUUGGGCGAGAGUAGUACUAGGAUGGGUGACCUCCCGGGAAGUCCUCGUGUUGCACCCCUUUUUAUUUUUUAAUUUUUUUUAAUGCAUCCUAAGACGAGUCUAAACUUGGAAACCUCAUAACUUUUGAACCGUGAGGAACUACGUCGCCCAUAGCACCAUUUCGGAAAGCCCCAGAAACCAUAAUGGGCGGUGAAUAGGCGGCGCCAAUUUUUCGGGCUCAAAUUCAGCCGUUUUGACCCUCAAACGGGCUGCGGAAAGUUUUGGCACGCAAAAAAGAUCGAAAGCGGAUUCUCAGGGUGUUUUUGAUGCUUUCUGAACGCCAUUAACCUCGACGCACUUUUUCGCUCGAAACAAAUGGCAAGAAAAUCAUGUGGGUCCCACGGCCUCACAGGCUGCGAAAAGGAUAUGUAGAAACGAGAGUGAUGUACUGACGGGUGCGAUCAUACCAGCACUAAUGCACCGGAUCCCAUCAGAACUCCGCAGUUAAGCGUGCUUGGGCGAGAGUAGUACUAGGAUGGGUGACCUCCCGGGAAGUCCUCGUGUUGCACCCCUUUUUAUUUUUUAAUUUUUUUUAAUGCAUCCUAAGACGAGUCUAAACUUGGAAACCUCAUAACUUUUGAACCGUGAGGAACUACGUCGCCCAUAGCACCAUUUCGGAAAGCCCCAGAAACCAUAAUGGGCGGUGAAUAGGCGGCGCCAAUUUUUCGGGCUCAAAUUCAGCCGUUUUGACCCUCAAACGGGCUGCGGAAAGUUUUGGCACGCAAAAAAGAUCGAAAGCGGAUUCUCAGGGUGUUUUUGAUGCUUUCUGAACGCCAUUAACCUCGACGCACUUUUUCGCUCGAAACAAAUUGGCAAGAAAAUCAUGUGGGUCCCACGGCCUCACAGGCUGCGAAAAGGAUAUGUAGAAACGAGAGUGAUGUACUGACGGGUGCGAUCAUACCAGCACUAAUGCACCGGAUCCCAUCAGAACUCCGCAGUUAAGCGUGCUUGGGCGAGAGUAGUACUAGGAUGGGUGACCUCCCGGGAAGUCCUCGUGUUGCACCCCUUUUUAUUUUUUAAUUUUUUUUAAUGCAUCCUAAGACGAGUCUAAACUUGGAAACCUCAUAACUUUUGAACCGUGAGGAACUACGUCGCCCAUAGCACCAUUUCGGAAAGCCCCAGAAACCAUAAUGGGCGGUGAAUAGGCGGCGCCAAUUUUCGGGCUCAAAUUCAGCCGUUUUGACCCUCAAACGGGCUGCAGUUUUGGGAAAGACAUGGCACGCAAAAAAGAUCGAAAGCGGAUUCUCAGGUGUUUUUGAUGCUUUCUGAACGCCAUUAACCUCGACGCACUUUUUCGCUCGAAACAAAUUGGCAAGAAAAUCAUGUGGGUCCCACGGCCUCACAGGCUGCGAAAAGGAUAUGUAGAAACGAGAGUGAUGUACUGACGGGUGCGAUCAUACCAGCACUAAUGCACCGGAUCCCAUCAGAACUCCGCAGUUAAGCGUGCUUGGGCGAGAGUAGUACUAGGAUGGGUGACCUCCCGGGAAGUCCUCGUGUUGCACCCCUUUUUAUUUUUUAAUUUUUUUAAUGCAUCCUAAGACGAGUCUAAACUUGGAAACCUCAUAACUUUUGAACCGUGAGGAACUACGUCGCCCAUAGCACCAUUUCGGAAAGCCCCAGAAACCAUAAUGGGCGGUGAAUAGGCGGCGCCAAUUUUUCGGGCUCAAAUUCAGCCGUUUUGACCCUCAAACGGGCUGCGGAAAGUUUUGGCACGCAAAAAAGAUCGAAAGCGGAUUCUCAGGGUGUUUUUGAUGCUUUCUGAACGCCAUUAACCUCGACGCACUUUUUCGCUCGAAACAAAAUUGGCAAGAAAAUCAUGUGGGUCCCACGGCCUCACAGGCUGCGAAAAGGAUAUGUAGAAACGAGAGUGAUGUACUGACGGGUGCGAUCAUACCAGCACUAAUGCACCGGAUCCCAUCAGAACUCCGCAGUUAAGCGUGCUUGGGCGAGAGUUACUAGGAUGGGUGACCUCCCGGGAAGUCCUCGUGUUGCACCCCUUUUUAUUUUUUUAAUUUUUUUAAUGCAUCCUAAGACGAGUCUAAACUUGGAAACCUCAUAACUUUUGAACCGUGAGGAACUACGUCGCCCAUAGCACCAUUUCGGAAAGCCCCAGAAACCAUAAUGGGCGGUGAAUAGGCGGCGCCAAUUUUUCGGGCUCAAAUUCAGCCGUUUUGACCCUCAAACGGGCUGCGGAAAGUUUUGGCACGCAAAAAAGAUCGAAAGCGGAUUCUCAGGGUGUUUUUGAUGCUUUCUGAACGCCAUUAACCUCGACGCACUUUUUCGCUCGAAACAAAUUGGCAAGAAAAUCAUGUGGGUCCCACGGCCUCACACGGAUUGGCUGCAAAAGGAUAUGUAGAAACGAGAGUGAUGUACUGACGGGUGCGAUCAUACCAGCACUAAUGCACCGGAUCCCAUCAGAACUCCGCAGUUAAGCGUGCUUGGGCGAGAGUAGUACUAGGAUGGGUGACCUCCCGGGAAGUCCUCGUGUUGCACCCCUUUUUAUUUUUUAAUUUUUUUUAAUGCAUCCUAAGACGAGUCUAAACUUGGAAACCUCAUAACUUUUGAACCGUGAGGAACUACGUCGCCCAUAGCACCAUUUCGGAAAGCCCCAGAAACCAUAAUGGGCGGUGAAUAGGCGGCGCCAAUUUUUCGGGCUCAAAUUCAGCCGUUUUGACCCUCAAACGGGCUGCGGAAAGUUUUGGCACGCAAAAAAGAUCGAAAGCGGAUUCUCAGGGUGUUUUUGAUGCUUUCUGAACGCCAUUAACCUCGACGCACUUUUUCGCUCGAAACAAAUUGGCAAGAAAAUCAUGUGGGUCCCACGGCCUCACAGGCUGCGAAAAGGAUAUGUAGAAACGAGAGUGAUGUACUGACGGGUGCGAUCAUACCAGCACUAAUGCACCGGAUCCCAUCAGAACUCCGCAGUUAAGCGUGCUUGGGCGAGAGUAGUACUAGGAUGGGUGACCUCCCGGGAAGUCCUCGUGUUGCACCCCUUUUUAUUUUUUAAUUUUUUUAAUGCAUCCUAAGACGAGUCUAAACUUGGAAACCUCAUAACUUUUGAACCGUGAGGAACUACGUCGCCCAUAGCACCAUUUCGGAAAGCCCCAGAAACCAUAAUGGGCGGUGAAUAGGCGGCGCCAAUUUUUCGGGCUCAAAUUCAGCCGUUUUGACCCUCAAACGGGCUGCGGAAAGUUUUGGCACGCAAAAAAGAUCGAAAGCGGAUUCUCAGGGUGUUUUUGAUGCUUUCUGAACGCCAUUAACCUCGACGCACUUUUUCGCUCGAAACAAAAUGGCAAGAAAAUCAUGUGGGUCCCACGGCCUCACACGGAGGCUGCGAAAAGGAUAUGUAGAAACGAGAGUGAUGUACUGACGGGUGCGAUCAUACCAGCACUAAUGCACCGGAUCCCAUCAGAACUCCGCAGUUAAGCGUGCUUGGGCGAGAGUAGUACUAGGAUGGGUGACCUCCCGGGAAGUCCUCGUGUUGCACCCCUUUUUAUUUUUUAAUUUUUUUUAAUGCAUCCUAAGACGAGUCUAAACUUGGAAACCUCAUAACUUUUGAACCGUGAGGAACUACGUCGCCCAUAGCACCAUUUCGGAAAGCCCCAGAAACCAUAAUGGGCGGUGAAUAGGCGGCGCCAAUUUUUCGGGCUCAAAUUCAGCCGUUUUGACCCUCAAACGGGCUGCGGAAAGUUUUGGCACGCAAAAAAGAUCGAAAGCGGAUUCUCAGGGUGUUUUUGAUGCUUUCUGAACGCCAUUAACCUCGACGCACUUUUUCGCUCGAAACAAAUUGGCAAGAAAAUCAUGUGGGUCCCACGGCCUCACAGGCUGCGAAAAGGAUAUGUAGAAACGAGAGUGAUGUACUGACGGGUGCGAUCAUACCAGCACUAAUGCACCGGAUCCCAUCAGAACUCCGCAGUUAAGCGUGCUUGGGCGAGAGUAGUACUAGGAUGGGUGACCUCCCGGGAAGUCCUCGUGUUGCACCCCUUUUUAUUUUUUAAUUUUUUUUAAUGCAUCCUAAGACGAGUCUAAACUUGGAAACCUCAUAACUUUUGAACCGUGAGGAACUACGUCGCCCAUAGCACCAUUUCGGAAAGCCCCAGAAACCAUAAUGGGCGGUGAAUAGGCGGCGCCAAUUUUUCGGGCUCAAAUUCAGCCGUUUUGACCCUCAAACGGGCUGCGGAAAGUUUUGGCACGCAAAAAAGAUCGAAAGCGGAUUCUCAGGGUGUUUUUGAUGCUUUCUGAACGCCAUUAACCUCGACGCACUUUUUCGCUCGAAACAAAUUGGCAAGAAAAUCAUGUGGGUCCCACGGCCUCACAGGCUGCGAAAAGGAUAUGUAGAAACGAGAGUGAUGUACUGACGGGUGCGAUCAUACCAGCACUAAUGCACCGGAUCCCAUCAGAACUCCGCAGUUAAGCGUGCUUGGGCGAGAGUAGUACUAGGAUGGGUGACCUCCCGGGAAGUCCUCGUGUUGCACCCCUUUUUAUUUUUUAAUUUUUUUAAUGCAUCCUAAGACGAGUCUAAACUUGGAAACCUCAUAACUUUUGAACCGUGAGGAACUACGUCGCCCAUAGCACCAUUUCGGAAAGCCCCAGAAACCAUAAUGGGCGGUGAAUAGGCGGCGCCAAUUUUUCGGGCUCAAAUUCAGCCGUUUUGACCCUCAAACGGGCUGCGGAAAGUUUUGGCACGCAAAAAGAUCGAAAGCGGAUUCUCAGGGUGUUUUUGAUGCUUUCUGAACGCCAUUAACCUCGACGCACUUUUUCGCUCGAAACAAAUUGGCAAGAAAUCAUGUGGGUCCCACGGCCUCACAGGCUGCGAAAAGGAUAUGUAGAAACGAGAGUGAUGUACUGACGGGUGCGAUCAUACCAGCACUAAUGCACCGGAUCCCAUCAGAACUCCGCAGUUAAGCGUGCUUGGGCGAGAGUAGUACUAGGAUGGGUGACCUCCCGGGAAGUCCUCGUGUUGCACCCCUUUUUAUUUUUUAAUUUUUUUUAAUGCAUCCUAAGACGAGUCUAAACUUGGAAACCUCAUAACUUUUGAACCGUGAGGAACUACGUCGCCCAUAGCACCAUUUCGGAAAGCCCCAGAAACCAUAAUGGGCGGUGAAUAGGCGGCGCCAAUUUUUCGGGCUCAAAUUCAGCCGUUUUGACCCUCAAACGGGCUGCGGAAAGUUUUGGCACGCAAAAAAGAUCGAAAGCGGAUUCUCAGGGUGUUUUUGAUGCUUUCUGAACGCCAUUAACCUCGACGCACUUUUUCGCUCGAAACAAAUUGGCAAGAAAAUCAUGUGGGUCCCACGGCCUCACAGGCUGCGAAAAGGAUAUGUAGAAACGAGAGUGAUGUACUGACGGGUGCGAUCAUACCAGCACUAAUGCACCGGAUCCCAUCAGAACUCCGCAGUUAAGCGUGCUUGGCGAGAGUAGUACUAGGAUGGGUGACCUCCCGGGAAGUCCUCGUGUUGCACCCCUUUAUUUUUUAAUUUUUUUUAAUGCAUCCUAAGACGAGUCUAAACUUGGAAACCUCAUAACUUUUGAACCGUGAGGAACUACGUCGCCCAUAGCACCAUUUCGGAAAGCCCCAGAAACCAUAAUGGGCGGUGAAUAGGCGGCGCCAAUUUUUCGGGCUCAAAUUCAGCCGUUUUGACCCUCAAACGGGCUGCGGAAAGUUUUGGCACGCAAAAAAGAUCGAAAGCGGAUUCUCAGGGUGUUUUUGAUGCUUUCUGAACGCCAUUAACCUCGACGCACUUUUUCGCUCGAAACAAAUUGGCAAGAAAAUCAUGUGGGUCCCACGGCCUCACAGGCUGCGAAAAGGAUAUGUAGAAACGAGAGUGAUGUACUGACGGGUGCGAUCAUACCAGCACUAAUGCACCGGAUCCCAUCAGAACUCCGCAGUUAAGCGUGCUUGGGCGAGAGUAGUACUAGGAUGGGUGACCUCCUGGAUCCCAUCAGAAGUCCUCGUGUUGCACCCCUUUUUAUUUUUUAAUUUUUUUUAAUGCAUCCUAAGACGAGUCUAAACUUGGAAACCUCAUAACUUUUGAACCGUGAGGAACUACGUCGCCCAUAGCACCAUUUCGGAAAGCCCCAGAAACCAUAAUGGGCGGUGAAUAGGCGGCGCCAAUUUUUCGGGCUCAAAUUCAGCCGUUUUGACCCUCAAACGGGCUGCGGAAAGUUUUGGCACGCAAAAAAGAUCGAAAGCGGAUUCUCAGGGUGUUUUUGAUGCUUUCUGAACGCCAUUAACCUCGACGCACUUUUUCGCUCGAAACAAAUUGGCAAGAAAAUCAUGUGGGUCCCACGGCCUCACAGGCUGCGAAAAGGAUAUGUAGAAACGAGAGUGAUGUACUGACGGGUGCGAUCAUACCAGCACUAAUGCACCGGAUCCCAUCAGAACUCCGCAGUUAAGCGUGCUUGGGCGAGAGUAGUACUAGGAUGGGUGACCUCCCGGGAAGUCCUCGUGUUGCACCCCUUUUUAUUUUUUAAUUUUUUUUAAUGCAUCCUAAGACGAGUCUAAACUUGGAAACCUCAUAACUUUUGAACCGUGAGGAACUACGUCGCCCAUAGCACCAUUUCGGAAAGCCCCAGAAACCAUAAUGGGCGGUGAAUAGGCGGCGCCAAUUUUUCGGGCUCAAAUUCAGCCGUUUUGACCCUCAAACGGGCUGCGGAAAGUUUUGGCACGCAAAAAAGAUCGAAAGCGGAUUCUCAGGGUUUUUUGAUGCUUUCUGAACGCCAUUAACCUCGACGCACUUUUUCGCUCGAAACAAAUUGGCAAGAAAAUCAUGUGGGUCCCACGGCCUCACAGGCUGCGAAAAGGAUAUGUAGAAACGAGAGUGAUGUACUGACGGGUGCGAUCAUACCAGCACUAAUGCACCGGAUCCCAUCAGAACUCCGCAGUUAAGCGUGCUUGGGCGAGAGUAGUACUAGGAUGGGUGACCUCCCGGGAAGUCCUCGUGUUGCACCCCUUUUUAUUUUUUAUUUUUUUUUAAUGCAUCCUAAGACGAGUCUAAACUUGGAAACCUCAUAACUUUUGAACCGUGAGGAACUACGUCGCCCAUAGCACCAUUUCGGAAAGCCCCAGAAACCAUAAUGGGCGGUGAAUAGGCGGCGCCAAUUUUUCGGGCUCAAAUUCAGCCGUUUUGACCCUCAAACGGGCUGCGGAAAGUUUUGGCACGCAAAAAAGAUCGAAAGCGGAUUCUCAGGGUGUUUUUGAUGCUUUCUGAACGCCAUUAACCUCGACGCACUUUUUCGCUCGAAACAAAAUGGCAAGAAAAUCAUGUGGGUCCCACGGCCUCACAGGCUGCUGCAAAAGGAUAUGUAGAAACGAGAGUGAUGUACUGACGGGUGCGAUCAUACCAGCACUAAUGCACCGGAUCCCAUCAGAACUCCGCAGUUAAGCGUGCUUGGGCGAGAGUAGUACUAGGAUGGGUGACCUCCCGGGAAGUCCUCGUGUUGCACCCCUUUUUAUUUUUUAAUUUUUUUAAUGCAUCCUAAGACGAGUCUAAACUUGGAAACCUCAUAACUUUUGAACCGUGAGGAACUACGUCGCCCAUAGCACCAUUUCGGAAAGCCCCAGAAACCAUAAUGGGCGGUGAAUAGGCGGCGCCAAUUUUUCGGGCUCAAAUUCAGCCGUUUUGACCCUCAAACGGGCUGCGGAAAGUUUUGGCACGCAAAAAAGAUCGAAAGCGGAUUCUCAGGGUGUUUUUGAUGCUUUCUGAACGCCAUUAACCUCGACGCACUUUUUCGCUCGAAACAAAUUGGCAAGAAAAUCAUGUGGGUCCCACGGCCUCACAGGCUGCGAAAAGGAUAUGUAGAACGAGAGAUGAUGUACUGACGGGUGCGAUCAUACCAGCACUAAUGCACCGGAUCCCAUCAGAACUCCGCAGUUAAGCGUGCUUGGGCGAGAGUAGUACUAGGAUGGGUGACCUCCCGGGAAGUCCUCGUGUUGCACCCCUUUUUAUUUUUUAAUUUUUUUAAUGCAUCCUAAGACGAGUCUAAACUUGGAAACCUCAUAACUUUUGAACCGUGAGGAACUACGUCGCCCAUAGCACCAUUUCGGAAAGCCCCAGAAACCAUAAUGGGCGGUGAAUAGGCGGCGCCAAUUUUUCGGGCUCAAAUUCAGCCGUUUUGACCCUCAAACGGGCUGCGGAAAGUUUUGGCACGCAAAAAAGAUCGAAAGCGGAUUCUCAGGGUGUUUUUGAUGCUUUCUGAACGCCAUUAACCUCGACGCACUUUUUCGCUCGAAACAAAAUGGCAAGAAAAUCAUGUGGGUCCCACGGCCUCACAGGCUGCGAAAAGGAUAUGUAGAAACGAGAGUGAUGUACUGACGGGUGCGAUCAUACCAGCACUAAUGCACCGGAUCCCAUCAGAACUCCGCAGUUAAGCGUGCUUGGGCGAGUAGUACUAGGAUGGGUGACCUCCCGGGAAGUCCUCGUGUUGCACCCCUUUUUAUUUUUUAAUUUUUUUUAAUGCAUCCUAAGACGAGUCUAAACUUGGAAACCUCAUAACUUUUGAACCGUGAGGAACUACGUCGCCCAUAGCACCAUUUCGGAAAGCCCCAGAAACCAUAAUGGGCGGUGAAUAGGCGGCGCCAAAUUUUCGGGCUCAAAUUCAGCCGUUUUGACCCUCAAACGGGCUGCGGAAAGUUUUGGCACGCAAAAAAGAUCGAAAGCGGAUUCUCAGGGUGUUUUUGAUGCUUUCUGAACGCCAUUAACCUCGACGCACUUUUUCGCUCGAAACAAAUUGGCAAGAAAAUCAUGUGGGUCCCACGGCCUCACAGGCUGCGAAAAGGAUAUGUAGAAACGAGAGUGAUGUACUGACGGGUGCGAUCAUACCAGCACUAAUGCACCGGAUCCCAUCAGAACUCCGCAGUUAAGCGUGCUUGGGCGAGAGUAGUACUAGGAUGGGUGACCUCCCGGGAAGUCCUCGUGUUGCACCCCUUUUUAUUUUUUAAUUUUUUUUAAUGCAUCCUAAGACGAGUCUAAACUUGGAAACCUCAUAACUUUUGAACCGUGAGGAACUACGUCGCCCAUAGCACCAUUUCGGAAAGCCCCAGAAACCAUAAUGGGCGGUGAAUAGGCGGCGCCAAUUUUUCGGGCUCAAAUUCAGCCGUUUUGACCCUCAAACGGGCUGCGGAAAGUUUUGGCACGCAAAAAAGAUCGAAAGCGGAUUCUCAGGUGUUUUUGAUGCUUUCUGAACGCCAUUAACCUCGACGCACUUUUUCGCUCGAAACAAAAUGGCAAGAAAAUCAUGUGGGUCCCACGGCCUCACACAGGCUGCGAAAAGGAUAUGUAGAAACGAGAGUGAUGUACUGACGGGUGCGAUCAUACCAGCACUAAUGCACCGGAUCCCAUCAGAACUCCGCAGUUAAGCGUGCUUGGGCGAGAGUAGUACUAGGAUGGGUGACCUCCGGGAAGUCCUCGUGUUGCACCCCUUUUUAUUUUUUAAUUUUUUUUAAUGCAUCCUAAGACGAGUCUAAACUUGGAAACCUCAUAACUUUUGAACCGUGAGGAACUACGUCGCCCAUAGCACCAUUUCGGAAAGCCCCAGAAACCAUAAUGGGCGGUGAAUAGGCGGCGCCAAUUUUUCGGGCUCAAAUUCAGCCGUUUUGACCCUCAAACGGGCUGCGGAAAGUUUUGGCACGCAAAAAAGAUCGAAAGCGGAUUCUCAGGGUGUUUUUGAUGCUUUCUGAACGCCAUUAACCUCGACGCACUUUUUCGCUCGAAACAAAUUGGCAAGAAAAUCAUGUGGGUCCCACGGCCUCACAGGCUGCGAAAAGGAUAUGUAGAAACGAGAGUGAUGUACUGACGGGUGCGAUCAUACCAGCACUAAUGCACCGGAUCCCAUCAGAACUCCGCAGUUAAGCGUGCUUGGGCGAGAGUAGUACUAGGAUGGGUGACCUCCCGGGAAGUCCUCGUGUUGCACCCCUUUUUAUUUUUUAAUUUUUUUAAUGCAUCCUAAGACGAGUCUAAACUUGGAAACCUCAUAACUUUUGAACCGUGAGGAACUACGUCGCCCAUAGCACCAUUUCGGAAAGCCCCAGAAACCAUAAUGGGCGGUGAAUAGGCGGCGCCAAUUUUUCGGGCUCAAAUUCAGCCGUUUUGACCCUCAAACGGGCUGCGGAAAGUUUUGGCACGCAAAAAAGAUCGAAAGCGGAUUCUCAGGGUGUUUUUGAUGCUUUCUGAACGCCAUUAACCUCGACGCACUUUUUCGCUCGAAACAAAUUGGCAAGAAAAUCAUGUGGGUCCCACGGCCUCACAGGCUGCGAAAAGGAUAUGUAGAAACGAGAGUGAUGUACUGACGGGUGCGAUCAUACCAGCACUAAUGCACCGGAUCCCAUCAGAACUCCGCAGUUAAGCGUGCUUGGGCGAGAGUAGUACUAGGAUGGGUGACCUCCCGGGAAGUCCUCGUGUUGCACCCCUUUUUAUUUUUUAAUUUUUUUUAAUGCAUCCUAAGACGAGUCUAAACUUGGAAACCUCAUAACUUUUGAACCGUGAGGAACUACGUCGCCCAUAGCACCAUUUCGGAAAGCCCCAGAAACCAUAAUGGGCGGUGAAUAGGCGGCGCCAAUUUUUCGGGCUCAAAUUCAGCCGUUUUGACCCUCAAACGGGCUGCGGAAAGUUUUGGCACGCAAAAAAGAUCGAAAGCGGAUUCUCAGGGUGUUUUUGAUGCUUUCUGAACGCCAUUAACCUCGACGCACUUUUUCGCUCGAAACAAAUUGGCAAGAAAAUCAUGUGGGUCCCACGGCCUCACAGGCUGCGAAAAGGAUAUGUAGAAACGAGAGUGAUGUACUGACGGGUGCGAUCAUACCAGCACUAAUGCACCGGAUCCCAUCAGAACUCCGCAGUUAAGCGUGCUUGGGCGAGAGUAGUACUAGGAUGGGUGACCUCCCGGGAAGUCCUCGUGUUGCACCCCUUUUUAUUUUUUAAUUUUUUUUAAUGCAUCCUAAGACGAGUCUAAACUUGGAAACCUCAUAACUUUUGAACCGUGAGGAACUACGUCGCCCAUAGCACCAUUUCGGAAAGCCCCAGAAACCAUAAUGGGCGGUGAAUAGGCGGCGCCAAUUUUCGGGCUCAAAUUCAGCCGUUUUGACCCUCAAACGGGCUGCGGAAAGUUUUGGCACGCAAAAAAGAUCGAAAGCGGAUUCUCAGGGUGUUUUUGAUGCUUUCUGAACGCCAUUAACCUCGACGCACUUUUUCGCUCGAAACAAAUUGGCAAGAAAAUCAUGUGGGUCCCACGGCCUCACAGGCUGCGAAAAGGAUAUGUAGAAACGAGAGUGAUGUACUGACGGGUGCGAUCAUACCAGCACUAAUGCACCGGAUCCCAUCAGAACUCCGCAGUUAAGCGUGCUUGGGCGAGAGUAGUACUAGGAUGGGUGACCUCCCGGGAAGUCCUCGUGUUGCACCCCUUUUUAUUUUUUAAUUUUUUUUAAUGCAUCCUAAGACGAGUCUAAACUUGGAAACCUCAUAACUUUUGAACCGUGAGGAACUACGUCGCCCAUAGCACCAUUUCGGAAAGCCCCAGAAACCAUAAUGGGCGGUGAAUAGGCGGCGCCAAUUUUUCGGGCUCAAAUUCAGCCGUUUUGACCCUCAAACGGGCUGCGGAAAGUUUUGGCACGCAAAAAAGAUCGAAAGCGGAUUCUCAGGGUGUUUUUGAUGCUUUCUGAACGCCAUUAACCUCGACGCACUUUUUCGCUCGAAACAAAUUGGCAAGAAAAUCAUGUGGGUCCCACGGCCUCACAGGCUGCGAAAAGGAUAUGUAGAAACGAGAGUGAUGUACUGACGGGUGCGAUCAUACCAGCACUAAUGCACCGGAUCCCAUCAGAACUCCGCAGUUAAGCGUGCUUGGGCGAGAGUAGUACUAGGAUGGGUGACCUCCCGGGAAGUCCUCGUGUUGCACCCCUUUUUAUUUUUUAAUUUUUUUUAAUGCAUCCUAAGACGAGUCUAAACUUGGAAACCUCAUAACUUUUGAACCGUGAGGAACUACGUCGCCCAUAGCACCAUUUCGGAAAGCCCCAGAAACCAUAAUGGGCGGUGAAUAGGCGGCGCCAAUUUUUCGGGCUCAAAUUCAGCCGUUUUGACCCUCAAACGGGCUGCGGAAAGUUUUGGCACGCAAAAAAGAUCGAAAGCGGAUUCUCAGGGUGUUUUUGAUGCUUUCUGAACGCCAUUAACCUCGACGCACUUUUUCGCUCGAAACAAAUUGGCAAGAAAAUCAUGUGGGUCCCACGGCCUCACAGGCUGCGAAAAGGAUAUGUAGAAACGAGAGUGAUGUACUGACGGGUGCGAUCAUACCAGCACUAAUGCACCGGAUCCCAUCAGAACUCCUCCGCAGUUAAGCGUGCUUGGGCGAGAGUAGUACUAGGAUGGGUGACCUCCCGGGAAGUCCUCGUGUUGCACCCCUUUUUAUUUUUUAAUUUUUUUUAAUGCAUCCUAAGACGAGUCUAAACUUGGAAACCUCAUAACUUUUGAACCGUGAGGAACUACGUCGCCCAUAGCACCAUUUCGGAAAGCCCCAGAAACCAUAAUGGGCGGUGAAUAGGCGGCGCCAAUUUUUCGGGCUCAAAUUCAGCCGUUUUGACCCUCAAACGGGCUGCGGAAAGUUUUGGCACGCAAAAAAGAUCGAAAGCGGAUUCUCAGGGUGUUUUUGAUGCUUUCUGAACGCCAUUAACCUCGACGCACUUUUUCGCUCGAAACAAAUUGGCAAGAAAAUCAUGUGGGUCCCACGGCCUCACACAGGCUGCGAAAAGGAUAUGUAGAAACGAGAGUGAUGUACUGACGGGUGCGAUCAUACCAGCACUAAUGCACCGGAUCCCAUCAGAACUCCGCAGUUAAGCGUGCUUGGGCGAGAGUAGUACUAGGAUGGGUGACCUCCCGGGAAGUCCUCGUGUUGCACCCCUUUUUAUUUUUUAAUUUUUUUUAAUGCAUCCUAAGACGAGUCUAAACUUGGAAACCUCAUAACUUUUGAACCGUGAGGAACUACGUCGCCCAUAGCACCAUUUCGGAAAGCCCCAGAAACCAUAAUGGGCGGUGAAUAGGCGGCGCCAAUUUUUCGGGCUCAAAUUCAGCCGUUUUGACCCUCAAACGGGCUGCGGAAAGUUUUGGCACGCAAAAAAGAUCGAAAGCGGAUUCUCAGGGUGUUUUUGAUGCUUUCUGAACGCCAUUAACCUCGACGCACUUUUUCGCUCGAAACAAAUUGGCAAGAAAAUCAUGUGGGUCCCACGGCCUCACAGGCUGCGAAAAGGAUAUGUAGAAACGAGAGUGAUGUACUGACGGGUGCGAUCAUACCAGCACUAAUGCACCGGAUCCCAUCAGAACUCCGCAGUUAAGCGUGCUUGGGCGAGAGUAGUACUAGGAUGGGUGACCUCCCGGGAAGUCCUCGUGUUGCACCCCUUUUUAUUUUUUAAUUUUUUUUAAUGCAUCCUAAGACGAGUCUAAACUUGGAAACCUCAUAACUUUUGAACCGUGAGGAACUACGUCGCCCAUAGCACCAUUUCGGAAAGCCCCAGAAACCAUAAUGGGCGGUGAAUAGGCGGCGCCAAUUUUUCGGGCUCAAAUUCAGCCGUUUUGACCCUCAAACGGGCUGCGGAAAGUUUUGGCACGCAAAAAAGAUCGAAAGCGGAUUCUCAGGGUGUUUUUGAUGCUUUCUGAACGCCAUUAACCUCGACGCACUUUUUCGCUCGAAACAAAUUGGCAAGAAAAUCAUGUGGGUCCCACGGCCUCACAGGCUGCGAAAAGGAUAUGUAGAAACGAGAGUGAUGUACUGACGGGUGCGAUCAUACCAGCACUAAUGCACCGGAUCCCAUCAGAACUCCGCAGUGAAGCAUGCUUGGGCGAGAGUAGUACUAGGAUGGGUGACCUCCCGGGAAGUCCUCGUGUUGCACCCCUUUUUAUUUUUUUAAUUUUUUUUAAUGCAUCCUAUGACGAGUCUAAACUUGGAAACCUCAUAACUUUUGAACCGUGAGGAACUACGUCGCCCAUAGCACCAUUUCAGAAAGCCCCAGAAACCAUAAUGGGCGGUGAAUAGGCGGCGCCAAUUUUUCGGGCUCAAAUUCAGCUGUUUUGACCCUCAAACGGGCUGCGGAAAGUUUUGGCACGCAAAAAAGAUCGAAAGCGGAUUCUCAGGGUGUUUUUGAUGCUUUCUGAACGCCAUUAACCUCGACGCACUUUUUCGCUCGAAACAAAUUGGCAAGAAAAUCAUGUGGGUCCCACGGCCUCACAGGCUGCGAAAAGG
rnacentral:lncRNA from 1 species